rnacentral:lncRNA from 1 species
UUAUGUCCUGAGUUCCGGAGCAAUCAUGAGGUACAACAGUAUUAUGUCCUGGUUUCUGAAUGUAAUAAAAUCCUAGCGCGUAGAGUUGGCACAAAUUAACUUUUGUGCAAAAUUGCUUAUUAGGUUUCGCUGUGCAGCUAUUUGAACUUAUCGGGGAUGAUUUCACCAUAGAGAUGUAAUGCAGUUGUAUUUUGAACAUAUAAUUUAAUUUGACGUUUGUAUGUUGAUUUCCUAUUUUCUACUUUUAUUAUGAUACUUGCUGUUUGAGAGAGGUCAUUUCAGUCGGGCUUCACUGAGCCGAGCUCCCCCUUCUCUGAAUAAAACUCUGUUAAUCCUCACCUUGGCCUCCUUGUACCGAGAUGAGGAUUACACACCUAAGGUUGAACCACCCGUUCCUAUUACUCCGGCUACCGCGGUCACCACCCUAAAGUUUCAUUGUGUCUGAUGGAACGGGCGAAGUCAGGUCACAGACUGACACCUACAGGGACAGGACGUCUGAUAAGACCUGUCCUCGACACCGACCUGUCAGGAUAGACUGACAUGCUCAGUCUGUUAGGUUCUAGGAAGUUGAAUCCUACUGUCAUUCCCUUCCAAUUGUCUCUUAUAAAUACAGAGAUUUCACUCAAAAAAGCACGCGAGAAAAAAAUACACUCUGUAAGAACUACUUUAAAGAAAAAUUUCACUACUUUCCAUUCCAAAAAGAAGACUAACUAGAUCGUUGGAGGAAAAUUGGGGGAUUCAGCCCCAUCUCUAAUAAUUUGAGCAUGUGACUUCCGCAAGACAGUACCCACUUCAGGAGGUCACUCCCGCACUUGGAUACAACUUGUCAACUCCAAAAAUUAUCUCUUCAAUUGGCGCCGUCUGUGGAAACCGCAAAGACAUCCAAGAAUGAAACCUACACGUUCUAGGAGCAGGAAGGUUCUCACCAUUGAGGCUGAGCCAAGUGCUGCAGCCCAACCGGAAAAUGUUUCCGAAGAACAGGAGUCUCAUGAGGCUCGGCCCACGAAUGGAGAAGCCAUGGCCCGAAUGGCAAAGUUUGUGGCUGAGAAUCCUAAUAUUUUCAAAGAGUUAAGAAGAUAUUUCAAAAGACAAGGUAAACAAAAAUCCGAAUUUUCUAAGAGAAAGCCAGAUGAAUCUUCCGAGGUCCCAUCCGAGGAAGAAUCGGAUGGAAGACAUUCUAACAGGAGCACCCCGAACGGGCCUCAUCCAAGGCUAUUUCGAGAAUUGCCUCCAUUUCUAGGGCAAUCUUACGGGGUUUCCUGGGGAAACAAGUCGAAGACGAACCUCGCGAUCGAAAAGGUUGGAGGUGGAUUACAUGAGAGCUCCGCCUUUCACGGAUAGCAUUAAUGAAGAGAGGGUCCCUCCCAAACUUUAAACUCCCAACGUUGCUACCUUAUGAUGGCCGAGGUGAUCCUGAGAAUCAUCUCCAUGCUUUUAUCUCAGCUUUUCGAUUAUACUGUGUCUCUGACUCAGUUAUUUGUCGAAUUUUUCCGGUCUUCCUUCAAGAGACUGCUCGAAAAUGGUUCUGCGGUCUAGAAUCUAGGAGCAUAUUCUCCCUAGGAGAGCUGGUGAAUAAAUUUAUCCAUCGGUUUAUAUCUUCCAGGCCAACGACAAAGACCUCGGCCUAUCUGCUAAAUAUACAGCAGAAUUUGGGGCAGUCUCUCCGUUCUUAUGUACAAAGAUUUCAAGAUAAGAGCGUGCAGAUACCUGAUCCUAAUGAAAAGGUAAUCAUAGCCGUCUUUACAAAUGGGUUUAUUGUCGGAGAGUUGAACACCGAAGUGCACAAAAAAUACCUUCGAACACUUCGGGAAUUGUGGCAAAAGGUCGAGAAAGGCAUACAGUCUGAGGACUUGAACCGCAUAAACAGAGAAGCCCAAAUAGCUCGAUCAGGGCCUGAUUCCCGAAAGAAGAAGGAAUCAAGUCGAGGUGACCCUGGCACUACUGGCGGUUUUCAGAGUCUCAACCAAGAUCGCUGAAGCGUCUUUGACAGAAUUGCCAAGGGAAAGUCGUUUGUCCCUGAUUCCGACCUAACACCCUUAAAUACCAAUCGAUCUUAUAUCCUUGCUCUCAUGAAGCAGAAUCACCUCGGACGUGCUCCCCCAAGAAUGGCCGGAAAAAGAGAAAAGAGAAACUCCAACCUCUAUUGUGCUUAUCAUCGAGGUAUUGGACACGAAACCGAGGAUUGUAGCGAUUUGAAGAAAGACAUUGAGAAUUUAAUAAAGCAAGGGUAUCUGAAACAGUUUGUUCGCAGAGAUGGAGACCACAACAGAAGUGACUCCCGCCGCGACAACCGAGGUGAGCAACGCCUGGAGGAUAGGCAGAGACCACGUAGUAGUUGCCGAUCCCUGAGGAUCCUAGGAAGACGAGAAGGACUCUCCAAGGUGGGUCCUCCGAUUAUGGGCCGAACAUAGUCGGGAUUGUCAACACCAUAGCUAGAGGCCCUAUGGGAAGGGAUAGUUAAAACUCCCGAAAAAGAACCUAUAAACAGGCUAAUCCAGAACAGGUCGAGAGCAGCUCCCGUCUUACUGAGACAAUCACGUAUGGCCCAAGUGACCCCGUCCCAACUGCUUCCAGUAGUCACGAGGCCUUGGUGAUAGAGUUGCUCACCAACAAUUAUAUAGUGAAGAAAGUGUAUGUCAACCCCAGUAGUUCGAUAGAUGUCAUGUAUUACCGAACCUUCAAAAUCUUGAUAUUAACCAGGGAUCAGCUCAUAUCUGUAAAGACCCCUUUAGUAGGGUUCAGGAGACACGUGGUCCACCCGCAAGGAAUGGUUACGUUUAUGGUGACCAUUGGGUGCCACCCUCGAUGCCGAACCAUUUCUGUCAAUUUUGUUGCAGUCAAAGCUGAUUCCCCAUAUAAUUUACUUAUGGGUCGACCCACCUUGAAUGCGCUACAGGCUGCGUAUUCAACCUACCACUUAAGUUUUAAAUUUUCAACUCUCACAGGCAUCGUCGAGGUAAGCAGCGAUGUCUGUGUAGCAAGAGAAUGCUAUUUUGCUACCCUGCAGGCCGCCUUUUCUUCAACGGCCGAGCCGAAAAUUGAGGGUAGGAGGUCUAAUAUUCUCUCGAUAGACUGUAUAGAUCCUCAACAGUUCGGGAAGCCUAAAAAGCUAGAGACCAAAUAUGAGGUAGAAAAAAUUCCUCUGAAUCCUUCGAACCCGGAUCAAACCAUCCGCGUUGGCACCAGCCUAUCUGAGCCUCUCAAAGGCGAGCUAACCUUCUCAAAGAAUACCAGAACGUCUUCGCCUGGAUUGCUGAACAAGUUGUGGGGGUACCCCAUCAACUUAUGCUGUAUGAACUGAACGUCGACCCGCGUGCACGACCAGUUAAGCAGAAGAGGAGGCACUUCGGCCUGGAACGCAAUAAAACCGUAGCCGAGGAGACGAACAAGCUCUUACCGGCGCGGAUGAUUAAAGAGGUGCAAUGUUCCAUCUGGCUGUCCAACCCUGUUAUGGUCAAGAAUGACACCGGGGGUGGAGGAUGUGCUUAGAUUUUACUAAUUUGAACAAGGCCUGCCCUAAGGAUUGCUACCUACUGUCGAGAAUUGACGCUUUGGUCAACUGGAUAUUGGGUUACGAGAUCCUCUACUUCCUUGAUGCCUUUAAAGACUAUCAUCAGAUAGGAAUGAAUGAAGAGUACCAAGAAAAAGCGGCCUUCUUCACAGAUCAGGAAAUCUACUGUUACACCACCAUGCCCUUCGGCUUGAAGAACACCCGGGCGACGUAUCAGCGACUGGUUAACUGGAUUUUUAAAUCUCAAAUAGGUAGGAAUGUUGAAGCGUAUGUGGACGAUAUCCUCCUGAAAAGCAAGGAGACCUCGGCUUUCUUAUCCGACGUGAGGGAGGUCCUUAGGGUCCUCCGCAACACUCGAAUGAUGUUCAAUCCCAAGAAGUGCGUGUUUGGCGCGAUUUCGAGAAAUUCUUGGGAUACCUUGCAUCACGCCGAGGUAUAGAAGCUAAUCCUGAUAAAGUGAAGGCCAUUCAAAAAAUGUCUUCACCUCGAAAUUCCCGAGAUGUACAAAGACUAACAGGUCGGCUGGCAGCUCUGAACCGGUUCUUGUCCCUGUUUGCUACAAGGCAUUGCCCUUCUUCAAAGCAUUGAAGAAGACUGACAAGUUCUCUUAGACCGAGAAGUGCCAGUAGGCCUUUGAGCAAAUGAAGGAGCACCUGCACCACCUUCCCACUCUUAAUUCACCACGCCCAGGAGAGAGUUAUAUCUUUACCUGUCUGCUGCUGAGGAGGCUGUGAGCACGGUGCUAAUACAAGAUAAUAGUGCCCAAGUGCCGGUUUACUAUGUUAGCUGAGUUCUCCGCGGGCCGAAGACUCGAUACAUCCGUGUAGAGAAACUCAUAUUAGGUUUGGUUCAUAUAGCUCACAGGUUAAAACCUAAUUUCUUAACUCACCCCAUACGUUUGAGAACAGAUCAGCCCAUUAGGCAAAUCCUGUCGCGUCCCGAGACUUUCGGACGUCUCACCAAGUGGGCCAUAGAGCGAGGGGAAUACGAUCUAACCUAUGAACCUCGGACUGCCAUCAAGGCUCAAGCUCUGGUAGAUUUCUUGGCCGAACUCACAUUUCCCGUGAGCCAAGAAGCCACUCCGGAUGACGCCGAAUCGCAAAAGUGGACUUGUACGUGAACGAGUCAUCUAACAGUGAUGGUAGUGGAGAUGGACUGCUCCUCGAAGACCCUCACGGGGAGGCAUGCUCAUAUGCCAUCUGAUUCGAUUUCACCGCCUCUAACAAUGAAGCUGAGUACGAGACUGUCAUCGCGGACUUACAAUUAGUUCGCAGACUUGGUGCUCAACGUAUUUCAGUCUAUAGCGACUCCCAACUCGUCAUAUGUCAAGUACUAGGGGAGUAUGAAACUAGAGAGGAAACCAUGCAAUGGUAUCUCUCCAAAAUUCACCAGUUAGCGGCCUACUUCAAAUCCUUUGAAAUCCAAAGGAUACCUCGGUUCUAGAAUAGGCGAGCAGAUGCCCUAUCCAGGUUGGCCCCCACCUUGUUAUCUGCGCUCAACCAGACUGUUCUCGUGGAGGUCUUAACCGAACCGGAUUACCUAGAGGAUAAGGUCUACCCUAUAAGUUCAGAAGACACCUGGAUGAGUCCUCUAAUCAGAUUCUUAGGUCAGGGUGUCCUUCCGAACGAUAAGGCAGAAACGAGAAAAAUUCAGCGCAAGGUGGUCCGAUAUGCACUCCGCGACGGCAACCUGUACAAACGAUCCUAUCUCGACCCAUGGGUGCGGUGUGUUACCGUAGAGCAAGGGCAAAAUGCCUUCCAGGAUAUACAUGAAGGAUUGUGUGACGCUCACGUCGACUAUCGGAUGUUGGUUAAGAAGACUUUGCUCCUUGGAUAUUUUUAGCCAACCAUUCGGCGAUAUGCCCAAUUUAGUCCUUUGCUGUCCCUCCUGCCAGCACCAUGCCUAGGAGCACCACCAGCCAACUAGUCUCAUGGUCCCCAUCACAUCAUUAUGGCCUUUUGAGCAAUGAGAGACAGAUAUUAUUGGACGCUUCUCGAGCCGUUGACAAUUAUGCUUAUGUGGUGGCGGCUGUUGAUUAUUUCACGAAAUGGGUUAUGGCCUGACCAUCCAGAAAUUCUUUUGGAAGUGUGUAGUUUGUCGCUUUGGUUUGCCUCGGAUAAUCAUCUCUGACAACGGGAAGCAGUUUGCGGAUAACCCUUUCAAGGCAUGGUACGAAAAUCUUGGGAUCAAACAACACUUUACCUCGGUGGGCCACCCCCAAGCCAACGGUUGGGUCGAGAAUUUUAAUCGAACACUUCUCCACAACCUCAAAACUAGGCUACAUCAGCUCGGAUCUUUCUGGGUUGACGAACUCCUGAGCAUGCUGUGGUCUUAUCGAACCACGCCAAGAUCCGCUAUUUAGGAAACUCCAUUUUCCUUAACUUAUGGGUCCAAGGCAGUGGUUCCUGCCGAAUUUCUCACUCCAAGUUCUCGAAUGGCGGCUUUCACUGUCGUGGCUAAUGGAGAAGAGCGAAAAAUGAAUCUCGACCUCGCUAAGGAGAAGCGAGAUGCCGCAGCAGCUCGAGUUGCCUUGUACAAGAAUAUACUGACUAGCUACUAUAAUGUCCGUGUUAGAUAUCUUCGGUUCAGCCCAAGAGACCUUGUCCUGCGAAAGAACUUAGUCAGCCAAUCUGAAUCCCAAGGCAAGUUGUCUCCGAGGUGAGAGGAGCCGUAUCGCAUAAUUGAGGUUAGUCAGAAUGGGUAUUGUAAGUUGACUUACCGAGAUGGUACUUUAGUAUUCAGAACUUGGCAUGCUGAGAAUUUCAAAUUGUAUUAUCCAUAAAUCAUUUACAUUCCACUCAAGAUUACUUGUAGUAUGUCUUUUAUUUAUUUAAUUACUUUUCUAGCAUCACUAUCUCGUGUUGUUAAAGAAAAUAAGGGGACAAGACAAGUAGAAAUGGAAUAAGUGACUGACAAUGAAGUAAAACAAGUCAUUGAUAUUAAAUGAGGUAGUUACAAAAAUUGUGAAGUACAAAAUGCCGAGACCAAAGGCUCUUCUAAGAGCCCCUGCCUCGGCUGAGCCCUCACCCUCCCCCGCACUGGCCUCUUCUUCAGCAACCUUGUCGGGCCCAUCACCCUCAGGUGUCAGCUCGAACUCUGCCAUUUCAUAAUUGAGCUCCUCUCGGACCUCAGUUAGGUUUUUCUCCGCCUGGAUGCCCUCAGCCAUGCGAUCGGAAAGCUCUUUAGCAUCAUCAUUGUAGCUGGCCUUGUUUUUGAAGGAGUCCAUCUAUUCUAAGGUGAGAAAGGGGGCUACGUCUUGGAUAGCCGAUGUAUAACCAAACAUGAAACUCAGCAGAGUCAACUCGCCGAACUCAUGAGUGAAGGCCUUGGAAGAGCAAAAGGCCUCUACUACCGAGCUGCCAGUCUUCUUAAUGGCCUCCCUUGAAGACUGCUCCUUUUCAAGUCAUCGCUUCUUCUCCUUUUCUAAAGCAGUCUUCAAGGAGUUCAUGGUGGUCUCGGACUGCUCCAUCUCGGCCACCAUGGUAUCACGCUGCUUGAGGAAUUGGGCGACGCCAUACUGGGGGAAACUAGGAUUGUUAAGAAGGGACUUGUAGGUUUAAACUUUCGGGCGCGGCUUACAAGCGCUUGGGCCUCUCACCCUUCUCUUCCUCAGCCAACUUCAGUUUCUUCUCCAGGAGGGAGAUCUUAUCCAGGAGCUCGGCUGAGAGCUGAUUUUCGACCAUGUUGAUGUGUCUUUGCAUCAACUCGGAGAGAAAGGCCGAGGUAGAGGCCCACGCCACUGAAGUGCUUUGCAUUUCGUCAGUAGUGAGCUUAUUGGCGUAGGAGUGGUCUCUUGGCAAGUUGGAGUGGACCAAAAGAUGGUGGGCCACUCUAGGGUCCUUGCAGCGGUCGUUGAUGCUCACAUCCCACUCUGGACAUCAGUGCUAGUCGGGGUGCUUCUUGUCCUCUCCGACAGAUUGCGACUGCACGUAGUGUCGGUUCUAAAGAGAUGACCUCGUGAUCGGAGUCUCGGUCGUUUGAAGUUGCUUGCCCCGGCCGAAGGUGGAGCAGUCACGGUCACACCUCGGGUGGCCACUCCUUCUGAAAUGGCCGAAACUCGGGAGGUGUUCUCGAGGACGACCGUUAGCAGGGUGCUGGCCGAGGCACUAGGAGUGUCCUUCUUCUUCUUCUGUAUUCUUGAGGUCUCACUAAGAGCCUUUCAUUUUUAUUGCUUCUUGGCCACUACGGCUGUGCCUGAGGUGAUCAGAUCUGACACUCUCACAACUGUAUAAGAAGAAGAUAUUACUACUUAGAAUCAAUGGAAAAAAGAACAAAACAAGACAAUGAAUUGAAAAAUAUAAUAUUUUUCAAGCCGAGUAAAGAAGUAAGGAGGGCGAUCCGGGCUGAUUAAAACUUGACUUAUCCCGCCGUUUACAAAGACCACCUCAGGAUAAUUCUAACUGUUGAUCUUGAGACCCGACCCGAGGAGUUUACAAAAGUUCUCCUCUUUAUGUUGACCCAGGAAAGGAUCUUUAGCCGAAGUAGAGGCCUUCACCAAAAUCCCCGGGGGAACUUCUCGGCAGGGACGAAAAUGAAAUUGCGCUUCCACUCUUUUAUUGAUGAAGGAGCGUCCACCAUUAAUUUUCAGACGUUCUUGUUUCGGUUCUCGAAAUAGAACCAUCCUUUCUCGUUUCCAUUAUUCUUGAUGGUGUAGUAACGGCGAAAAAGGUUCACUAUGGGAUUCAGGCCUUGCUCUCGGUAGAGCAUCUCGAAUCCGAUGAGUAUCCGAACUACGUUCGGGACCAAUUGAGCGUUCUUGAUGCCCCAGUACCUUAGGCUAUUUCAGAAGAAUCUUGUUGUGGGCAUUCUCAACCCUACUUUCAGUUGGUCAACGUAGAUGGCCACCGUAUCAUCUGGGGGCAUCUCGGCUGUUUUGGUCGCCCGGGGUGGAUAGAUGUUAUAGUGUUGACGGAAAGGCUACUUUUGAAUCACCUCGUUCGCUGCGGUCUGACCAAUGACGUUGCUGAAGAAGGGAGUUGGCCAAAAUCUACGAUCAAGAGAUCUGGAGGGGUGGCUGGCUCCUGCACUCCCUCGUCUUGGGGCAUCUCGGAUCCGAGUUUAUUGUUGUACAACACCUCAGAUCCUUCUUGGCUCUGGUCUUGUGAUGCUUCAUUCCCAACGGAUGCCUCGGCUGCUUCUUUCCCCGGGGUCGAUGAAGCAUUUUCUUCUUCUUCAAUCAGGUCGGGCCUUUCCGUUGUAUCAUAGUUCGGCCUGACCAUCUCCUUGUGUGUACGGGCUAUCCGAAUCAUAUUGCAGAAAGUAAAAGGGGUGGUGAACUUACUGUUUAUAGAAGAAAAGGGUUGGGGUGAGCAGUUGAAACACUUCGAGUAUUCUCCCUGACCUCGGAUAUUCAGACGUUCACGUAGGGGAUUGCUGUAAAUUUUUGAGGUAAAAGGUUAAUAGCGAGGAAGGACCCCCUAUUUAUACUGGUAUUGCGGGAGAUGAAAGGGCCGCGUCUGUUGAGUUCCCCCAGGACGCACCCUCUCUUCUCAUUUAUGACCAGCCGUCGUUCUGACUGCCUGUCACGUGUCCUUUCAUGCCCUGUCAUAAUGACUGACGGCCGUCUCAUCUCCCCUUGCUUUAUCCCAUUUGCUGAUGAUUGAUGUGUUAUCACCCAGACACGUUGAUGACCUGUUGUACCCUCACGAAAGCCCCAGAAGGCAACAAAUAACCUGUUCCUUCUCGAGGCUUGGGAGGCCUAUUGAGGGUGGUCAUUUCAGCCCAAUUUCGCUGAGUCGAGCUCCCCCUUCCCUGAAUAAAGAUCUGUUAAUCCUCACCUCGGCCUCCUUGUACCGAGGUGAGGAUUACACACUUGAGGUUCAACCACCCGUCCCGAUUACUCCGGCUGUCGCGGUCACUACCCUGAAGUUUCACUGUGCCUGAUGGGACGGGCGAAGUUAGGUCACAGACUGACACCUGCAGGGACAGGAUGUCUGAUAAGACCUGUCCCCGACACCGACCUGUCAAGAUAGACUGACAUGCUCAGUCUGUCAGGUUCUAGGAAGUUGAAUCCUACCGUCAUUUUCUCCCAAUUGUCCCCUAUAAAUACAGAGAUCUCACUCAAAAGGGGACCCGAGAAAAAAAUACACUCUGUAAGAACUACUCUCUAAAGAAAACUUCACUACUUUCCAUUCCAAAAAGAAGACUAACUAGAUCAUCGAAGGAAAAUCGGGGGAUUCAGCCCCACCUUUGAUAAUUUGAGCAGGUGACUUCCGCAAGGCAGUACCCACUUCAGGAGAUCACUCCCGCACUUUGGUACAGCCUGUCAACUCCGAAAAUCACCUCUUGAUUGCUCAAGUUGGCAAUUCUUUGACUACAUGACUAACGCUUGUGGUAAAUCCAAGUUUUUGUAGCUUCUUGUCAUGCUUCUCUGUCGAGGCUGGAACAGUGGCUUUGUUAUAUUGUAAUCUGUUAAGAAAAAAACAAAAUAAAAUAGCGUGUGUGCUUUUUAUGAGAAGAGGGUGUGGGGCGGGGGAAUCCUCUUCAGUGGCAAAAUUGUUUCAUUGCCAUCUCUAUUUUUGUUUGAGCCCUCACGUCCUUAGAUUAAGAUGUGGUUUUGAAUCUUGGAACUAGUUCAAAUAACUUCUUACAUAAGUUAUUUAAUGACUCGUAGGGCAAAACUUGUAAACCUUUCUUGUCCUUUCUUUCAUCUAAUGUGGGAUUUUUUUUUUGUCGGGAUUUAGGUCUCUCAUUUAUCAACAUAAUAAUCAAAUCAAACGCGGGCAAUAUUUUAAACUCAAUGUGGAGUCAAAUCAAAAUUAAAUAAUAUAACGUUCGACUCUUUUGAACUCAUGUACAACUAUAUUUUUCAAAAUUUUGUACUAUUCAGGGUUUGUUUUAGUUUCUUUAGGAAAAUUAGACAUCCAAUAAAAUGAGUGCUUGAAAAAUGAAACCAAAGGACAAAGAAAAUUGCUUACUUUGCACUUGCAUUAUCCAAGUUCGUGUCUCAUGAUAGAGACUUAGCUGUCAAUUAUCAUCCAAAAUUACAUGGUUGCUUGUAAUGGAGUUAUUUUUGAUUGAUGGAUCGUUGUCAAUCAUGAUACCUCAGCAGGUAUUGGAUGGGUGCUCCAAGAUCCACUUCAUAAUAUAAUCCAUAAACUAAGCAAGAAGGUCUAUUCUCUCUCUUUUUUUUUUUUUUGGGCUUGACAUAAUAGAUCUACACUACUCUCUACUAAGAGAAGGGGGAUCUGAAGAAUUUUAAGGACAAUUUGGAGAGGACUGAACGAUCACCAGUCCAAACGGGUGCCUACACACCCACUGACAACAUUUCUAGAAAACCUAGAUUUUUAGAAUAUAGGUCAAGGAUUUAAUCUCUUGAUUUACAUUCAAGUAAAGUUUUAAAACUCUCUUGAUGGCCGAUUAGCAAGAAGGUCUAUUCGUCAUCUCCAAUUUGCAUCGAAGCUCUGGCUUGUUUGGAUGCUUUAAUAUGGGUUAAACAACUAAAUAAUGCCACUAUUCUGGUCAAGACAGAUUCCCUUCUGCCCCUAAAAUACAUUAUGGAUCCAUGAAUUUCGGAAGUGUAUGUUAGGUCCAUUUCCGAGAUAUAAUUUGUAUGUCUCAAUCGUUUGAUAGAAUUAUAUUUAUCAAGGUUAGCAGGUCAUCUGUCAAUUUAGCCCAUAACUUUACUAUUAAAGCUAGACCUCUGUAAUUAUGUGUAAAUAUUAUUAAAUGCUUUCAUUUUCAAGAAAAAAAAAGAUGCCAAUUACUUCUCUUUAUUGAAUUUGUCCACUUGUUUCCAUUAAUAAAUAUAUGUUUGGAUAGAGUAUUAUUUAAAAUAAUUGCUGUAGCACUUUUGUGAUAAAUAUGAGAUAAAAAGAUGGUCGGGAAUAUAAAACAUGAAUUAAAAAAUAUAUUUAUAAUGCAAGCGAAAUAUUAUUUGCAACAAUAUGGUAUCAAAACAAACUUCUAGUUCGAAAAUCGGUAGCAUGUUGAAUCAAUCAAAGACAUUUGUAUCUUGUUUAUGAAUUGGAUUGGUAUACUUGGUACUCUAAGGUUAUUAAAUAACAAGUGGGCUUGGUAUUAUUAUUCUUUUCACAAGAAGCUAAUUUCAUCGUGAAAGUGUUGUAACUCAGGACUUGGAUAGUAAUUUUAAAACUUUAAUAGUGCACCUAACUUUCAACUUUUCAUGUGCUUUCAGGGUACCAAAUGGAAAAAAAAAAACCCAUAUAACUUCAAGUCUAAGAUGGUAUGCAAUUCAUUAAGUUAAUAAGUAUUCAUAAUUUCAUAUGUAGAUGUUAAUAUACAUUAAUAUAUAAAAAGUGCAUGAUUGAUCACAAACAUAUUUAUCCUAAUAUUAGAGUUUUUUUUUUUUUUUGAGAAUUCAACUUUUCAUGCAAACAUGUAAUCAACAUGCAUAAAUGAGAUAACAUUAGAUGAGUUAAACAAGUAGCCUUCAAAUAUAAAAUUUUGAUUUCAUAAAUGUGCAUUGGCAAUUUAGAAGAGGUACUUUUCAAAUGACAAAUCUAGAGAGCAACAACUGCUCCUACUUUAUUUUGAUUUCUAAUCUUCUUUUGACGUAUCAAAAAGGUGAAAACAUGAAAUUAAUAAUGGAUCAGAUAGAGAAGAGUACACUGUGAGUAAAAAUAAAAUGAAUAAUUUAUUUUCAAUUUCUUCGUGUAUAAAUUUUUCCUUAACAUUAAUCGUUGACGUAUCAUUUAUUAUAGACUCUUUCAAGGCACCAAUCAAAAGUUCUAAGUGCUGGAAACAAUAUAAAACCUAACACUGAAUAUGAACAAUAGAACAUGUAAUUACCCAAAUGCAAAAUCAUAUUAUACAUGCACUAUUCACCCACGACGUAAAGCACAAUUUUAAAGUUUAUUCAAAUUUCGAGCUUUGUUUGGUUAGGUGUUUUAGAAAAAUUAUAUUAUAGGUUUUUUUCUUUUGUCUUUUCAAAAAAAAAAAUACUUGUAAGAUAAAAAAAUAGUUGAAAAACUAGUUUAGAGUUUUAUUAGAAAUUUAUCAGGAGAGCGGUAAUCCCUCAUCAGCCAUCCCCUCAUUCUUCCAUGUAUCUUUUUCAUGAAUUGGGUUGAUCUAUUUGGCGUUCAAAGAUCACAUUUAAAAAGUUUUUUUUUUUUUUUUGCGAAAGUAUUAUAAUUCAGAAUAUGGAUGUAAUUUUAAAACUUUAGUAAUGCACCUACCUUCCAUAUUUUCGUAUGACUAUUGAGUGCUCUUAGAGUAUUAAUGGGAAAAAAAAAACCUUGUAAAUUUUACAUUCGAGCAUAUCCACUUUCUGAAGAGCAGGAAAAAAAAACACCACAUAAUUUCAAUUCCAAAAUUUUAUUUUUUUUUGAACAAACUUCAAGCCCAAAAUUGUUUUCUUUUUUUGCUAAUUAAAAGUUUGAAUAAAUUCGACUCCAAUCAUCAUUAAAAAUUAAAAAAUGUCCUCUAAACCAUAAGUUACUUACAGAGGUUCUUACAUAUUACAUACUAGCACAAAGUUAAACAAAGAGUAUAACGAUCUUUUCCUUGUAGCUCUUUUCUUCUUUUUCUAUUCUUGAUAGGAUAAUAUACGUAGGAGAGUCUAUUUUGUCUUAUUUCUAUGCUCUUUAUAGCCUUCCUUUGGUCGUAUAUUCCCAAUGCCUCGUGGCUGCAUGGUAAUAUAGGGCUCCUGCUCACUAAGUAUACUUCCAAUUCGAGCUUUCAAGGGACGAGGGCCAAAUCUCUAUUUUGUCUCACCACUAAACAUGUCCAUGAAUCGAGUUUUAUCUAGAUCCAACCCAGAUCCAAUGUAAUUAAAUUAGAUUUGAAUUUAAUUCUCAAAUUCGGACCUUAUCCAGACCAAAACCCUGUAAAAGAGUUGUGGGUUUAGAGAGGGUUUGAUUUUCUAUAAUCCAUAUUGAAAUCCAAAUUUAUACAAAACCCUACUCAAACCCAUAUAUAUAUAUAUAUAUAUAUAUAUAUAUUAGUAAAUUUAUAAAAUAUUCAAAUAUUCUAUGGUCAUUGGAUUGAACAUAGUAAGACUUCGUGAUUGUUUUCUUUUUUCAAUCUAAUCCUAAUUAUCAUUGUAAUUAGUACAAACUUUUUCAGAAAAAAGUAAAGGCAAAUAAAUAAAAGAUUAGACGUAAAUAUAGUUGAAAUUUUAAAAAUAAAUCAAAGUAGUCAAUAAUAGUUUUUUUUUUGAGUUUAUAAUAUUGCAUUCAACUUCUUGAAUAUUAAUUUUAUUAUUUGAAAAUAAAAAUUGGAUGGUGUUUAUACUUUUUGAAAUUUACAUAUUUUUAAUAGAUUUUUACUUUAGGGUAUUUAGAAAAAUACAGCGGGUACCCAUUGGGUAUCCCAAAUUCGAGAGUGUCUGGGUUUGAACUUAUUUUUUAAAAAUCAUAAAGAUUUGAGUUUGGGAAUUUAAUGGAUCUAGAUCAAAGGGACAUACCUACAAAGAUAUACUUAUUUGUCUCACUAUUAUAACCUUUUUUUUAAUAUAAUCGAAUAUUUCAUGAAGUACGUAAUCAAUGACAUAACAUUAGACAAAUUUAGUCCUCCCUGACAAAUCUUUUCAAGAAAAAAAAGACAAAUCUUUUUAUGAGUAAUCUUUGACAAACCUUUCCACGAGUCUUCUUUUCAAAACUUCAAUUACGGCAUACACUUUUGACCAGAGGCGGAGCCGACAAUAAUUAUCAGUAGGGACAAAAAUAAUAUCAAAAAUUCUUCAUUGUCUUUCUUAAAAGUAGUACAUAAUAACAACGGCCCACUUGAUAAAUGAGUUUUUCAUGUGUUUGUUCAAAAUUUUACUGUAACUUAUCGUAGAAUUUGUAAAAUUUUUUUUUGAGAUUGUAUCUAUUUAUUGGAGGUUCUUGUAUAUUCACUUCGAACUUUUUCAUUGGUCUUGGAGCAACUACUAAGCUUCUCAAGUAGUUGUUCCAAAACCAAUAUAAAAUUUUCUUUGAAUGAGCGAUAUAACACAAAAUCACAUAAUAACACAAUAAUUUUCUUUGAAAAAAAUAUAAGAAACAUUUUAAAAUAACCAUAGACCUAUAGUUUUGUAAGGCACAAGGACAUAAUAUUUAUUGUUUUAUUAAAAAAAAUGACGUUCACCAUAGUAGAAGAAAAUUAUGUUUAACUAAGCCAACAUAAUUACUCUAUAUUUUUACUUUUGUUGCAAAAAUUCACAAAAUUCAUUUUACUGAUGUAGAAGGCUAUUGUUUUGAAUUUUGUAAUAUUUCAUUUCCAUUAAGUUACAAAACUAAUUAUAUUUACAUUUACUUCUAAACAACAAAAUGGGAGCACAAUCGAAAAUUUCUCAGAAUUGCAGGAGUCACAAUAGGGGCAUAAUUGAAAAAUUCACAAAAUUACUUGAGUAACAACAGAAUUCUGUGCGGGGCAGUAGGGGCCCGUGCCUACAGUUCCCCCAUUGUCGAUCCACUUCUGCUUUUGACAAUAUGCCCCCUUUCUGAUCCCCUUGCGAAGCUAUGGAUCAAUUAUUCCCAUUUGUGAAUGUCAAUAUCAUGAAAUUGAACUUGGAAGGAUGUAUUUCUGUAUUAAAAAACUUCUUCAAUCUCCUGUUUCUUUCAAGCCAGAACUAUUAAUGAUUUUGAAGCUAUAUAAUUGCUCUUGCAUGAUGAUGAGGAAGCUAUGAUUGAGAACACUAGCGGAUUUAAGGUGGGGUGACUGGGGGCACGCCCCAUUGCUCCCCUUAAAUUCCUACAAUAUGCAUAGAAUUUUGAUAUUAUUUUAAGUGUGCAUUCAAAGUUUUUUUUAUGAAAUAAGUGAAAUAAUUACGUGAUCUUUUAAAUUGAUCCAUGAACUAAUAUUCUAAAAGGAUAUGUGGGUCACAAAAUUUCAUUUGAAAUAAGUUCAAAAAAUCUUUUUCAUUUUAACUUGUUGGUGAAUAUUUUUUUACUUAAAAAACUAACAAAAUAGUAGGAAAAAAAAUUUUAAUGCUGCUUUUGCCCCCACUGAAAAUUUUUUCAGGCUCCGCCACUGAUUGAGAAUAUCUGACUGUCCAUGAUAGAAGCAAAUAUUGUUGAUGUAAAAUACAUUACUAAAUGUGCCAAUAAUGUAGCACAUGAAUUAGGUUUUCAUACUAACACUUCUAACAUUAUGGAAUUCCUAUGAAAUUCUCCACCUAACUUUGUUAAAAAAUUCAUGCUGGACCAAUUCCAACGAUUUAGUUAAUAAUAUUUUCUCUUUUUAUCAAAAAAAAAAAAAAAAAAAGCUCAUAGGCAUCAAUUGCUUUUUCAAUACAGCUUGCUUUUACAGUCCUACGACCACAAUCUUUUGUCAGAGGAAAUAAGGCUGAAAAAAUAUAUAUAUAAUUUUUUGCAUCAUCAUUGUGAUACAAUGAAGUACAGAAACUGCUUAUGAGAAAAUUUAAGAUAUUUUUACACUCAACUUUUUUUUUUUUGUUUCUUUCUCCUUUGUAUACAGGUUAAGUAUAUGGGAUAAAAAAGAUAAGUAUGUACCACAUAAUUACUAGCUGCUCUCAUUGAAACCUGUUGCUGCGUGAAUACUUCACAAGAUUAUGUCAAAUUAUCACUUCAAAAUAAAAAUAAAAGGAAUUCAAAAGAAAAAUUACUAACAAUUAAGAGCUAAUUCCUCAAAAUAUUUCCCCAAAAAAAUCCAGCUAAUGUGGUUCUGAUAGAGUCCAUUUCAAAAACUAUGGUUUUUUUUUUUAUUCUUGGUAGCCGCUUUUAAAGGAAAAAAAAAUUCAAGGGCUGCCAUCUCUUUUUAAAGGCAACAAUGUUUUUUUUUUUUUAAUUCCUGGCGGCCACUUUGAAAUAAAAAAAAAAUUGAAGGGAUGCUGUAUUGAAUCAGCAUGACAGCCCUCUUCUUUUUUUUUUCUUUUGAAAAAGAUGCUGAGCCUGCAUGUUAUCUUACAAAUAGGCAGUUGCUUUAUUUUUUGUGUUUCACGGCAGCCCGGUGACUUCUACAAUUGUUUAUGUUUCACACAAAACAUAUUGAAUACUUGAUGGGGUAUUAUUCAUAGAACCUAAAAAAUCCUGUGAAUGAUACUCCAUCAAAUAUUCAAUGUUUUGUGUGAAAGAUAAACAAAUAUAGAAGUCAAUGGGCUGCCGUGAAACACAAAAAACAAAGCAACUGGCUAUUUGUAAGACAACAUGCAGGCUCAGGCAUCCUUUUUUAAACAUGGCAGCCCUUGAAUUUUUAUUUAAAAAAAAAUUGGCGGCUAGGAUUUUUAAAAAAAGAAAAUUGUUUCCUGCCAUGCUAACACAGCGAAUUUUUAUUUUAAAAAAAAAGUGGCUGCCAGGAAUAUUUAAAAAAAAAAAAAAUCUCAUGGCAGGCAUAUUUUUGGAAAUGGACUCUAUCAAAGUCACAUUUGCCAGUUUUUUUUUGGGCAAUAUUCUGAGGAAUUAUGCAGAAUUAGCGGUAUAUUUCUUUCUUUCUUUUUUGACUACUUUUAUAAGAACAAAAUGUAUAACAGGAAAUUCUCAAUAGACUCCCUUAUUUGACAAGUGAAAAAUAGGACUCAGGUACUACGAGCACUAAAUUUUAGGGGGUGGAAUAUAAUUACAUUUUAGAAUUGAUUAAACAUGAGAAAAACUGGAAUGUGCUCUUUGUCUGUCACAUUAGUGGCCGUUUUGGAGAUGUAAUGAUUUAUUAAAAAAUAUUUCACCCAUUAGAGCUUUUGAUGAUAACACUUGAAAGUGUGUUAUUUGGACGCAUACAUUGAUAAGUGAUUGUUAUGUAUGGAUUGUUUACCCACGGAUUUUAUCAAAAUUUUAAAGAUUAUUCGAUUUUUAGGCUAUGUUUGGUUAGGUGUUUUCCAAGGUGAUUUAGGGGUAAAUUGACUAUAAAGGUGUGACGAAGUUAUAUUUUGAACCUAAAGUUCAAGUUGUGAUUAGUACGUUAAUUUCCUAUUUUCUACUCUUUUUAUGAUGCUAUUCAGGUUAGCAAAUCUUUGAUUAAAUGACUGAAGCUUGUGGUGAAUCAAGUUUUUGCAACUUCUUGUCAUGCUUCUUUAUCGAGGUUGGAACAUUAGCUUAGUUAUGUUGUAAUCUGUUAAGGGGAAACAAUUUAAGGUCCCCUGUGGCGGUAGCAGGGCAGGAAAGCUACAUGACAACGGCGUUGAGAUAGGAGUUGCUAUCUCUAUAUUUUGCUUCCUCACGCUUUUUGAUUGAAGUAAGGAUAUUUAGCCUAAAGUUUUGAGUUUUAGAACUGAUCCAAAUGACUAUUAAGUGAAAUCACAAAAUCAAAUUGAUCAACGCAAUUUAUUUAAUAGCCCAUGAGGCAAAAUUUAUAAACUUCUCCUGUCUUUUCUUUCCUACUAUUGUAUGACUUGGGGCUCUCAUCUGCCAACAUAAUAAUCAGACCAAACUCAAGGAAUAUUUUAAACUCUACGUUGAUGACUAUUGGCGUUUGUAAAUCGAGCUUCAUGCUUUCAAGUAGAAUUGAAUCUCAAAGUCUAGGCAAAACUCACAACACAUAACGCUUAAAAUGCAAAUAGUAUAAAAUGUAAUUCACCAACAAAUAAAAUCCAAAUGUUUGGAAAAAUUUGAAUUUGUUUGAGGGUAAAAGAUUUAUUUUUUAUUAUAUAUAUUCCUAGAAUGGAAAAAUUUUACAAGUAUACGAGAAAUGAAAACCAAAAUGAAAAUGGAAAAUGCUUACCUUUGUGCUUUUACCUCAUCCAAGUCAGGGUCGAACGUUGCAUCUCUCUAUAGGUGAUAAAUAAAUUCAUUUAGCUAAAUUUACUCAUAUCCGUUCAUAAAUAGAUGGAUAUGGAUAUCUUAAGUUUUUGCAUAUGGAUAUAAAUGAGUUACCUAAUAAUUCUCAUUUAUUAAAUAGGUAUUAUUAGAUAAUCUAUCAAACUCAAUUAACCUAUUUAAAAUUAUCUUCUCCCAAGCCUCCUCUCUUCCUCCACACAUUUUUUUUUUUCAAAUUUUUCAUUUUGUCAUGAUGUUAACUACUUUUGUUUCAUUAUUAUUAUUAUUUGUUGAUUUUAUCUUAUUAUUUUAUUUUUCCUUAAUUUGUUAACUUGCUCAUUUUUCAGCAUUAUUAAUUUAUGACGAAUUUUAGUCUCUUUUCCUACUUUCUCAAAAUGAAAUUUUAAAUUUACAUAUAAAAAAAAUGCUAGGGGUUCAAAAUUUUUGGAUUAAGUUUUUAUGUUAACUUUUAUAGUACUUAAUUCAAAUUUUCAUAUUCUUAUUGUUUAAUUAUUAAAUAAUAUGUAAUUUUGUGACAUAAAGUACUGAUAGAAAAAAAAUUGGUAAUUAGAUUUAUUGAUCAUUAUAAAUAAAUAUUUAAAUUUAAUAAUGGAUGCAAAUUAUGGUAUAAAUGGAUAAUUUAGUUUGCAAAAAUGAAUUUAAAUAAGUUCACAAAAAAUUAAAAUAAAUAGAUUAUAAAUAGAUAAUUGGAUUACCCAAUUCAUUUUUUAACUUAUUCAUUAGAUGGAUAUAAAUGAGUUGACUCACUUAUACCUAUUAUCCAUUUUAAUCAAUUUAAAUCCAUUUUAAUCAAUUUAAAUCCGUGACACUUCCACUUCCUUCCAAAGUCUACCUCAGACUUUAAGGUUCCCAUUUUGUCCUGCCUUGGGAAGCGGGAUAGAAGAGGACAUGUGUGAGUGUGAUAGUCAUAGAUGGAUGCAUGGCACACGCUCGUUAAUUCGGAGAGGGAAGGCCGACGCGCAUGUACAUUGAAGCAAAAUGCUACGCGUCGGGUUAGAAGGAAACAUGAAUAAAAAAGAAAAUGUGUUAAGUGAGGGACCAGAGGGGCAAAUACCAACGAAUACCGUAUGUGAUCAGUUAGAUAUAUGUAUAUAAAGGGAUAAUUGCAUAUUCCCACCCUGAGGUAUGUACCAUUAAAAAUAAAGACUAAAGCCAGAGAGCGUCGAUGUAAGUCUCGCAAAUUGUAACAUUAGCAUGAGCGUAUUAGAAUUUAGUAACAUCAGCAACCAUCCAUAAAACUGCAGAAAAUGCAAAAAUCAAUAAAGUAGAGAGAAAAUUUUUUUAAUUUGGAAUCGAUAUUUACAUGUAAAGUUGUUAUAGUGUUGGUAAUGGAAUUUCAAAAACUUUGAACAGGAAUUGGACAAGAGGUGAAAAAAACACACAUAUACACAAUAAUUCCCAAGGUGAAAAAAUAAAAUAAAAUGCACUGCAAAAGUUAAUAAUAUGUUUGGAAUCGUUUUGUUCACUCAUGGAGUCCAUCCUUUUACAUGAUUAACAAGAGAUGUUCAUCUUUGUAAAGAAAAAGUAACAAUUUUGAGGUGAUGUUGUAAUUAAAUUUUAAAGGAAAAACAAGUAAAGCAAAGUAGAGAAAAUCUUUCUAACCAUCUUGUUCAGAUUACGUAUACCAAAAAGAAAAAAAAAAAAGAAAAAAAAAACACUAAACAUCAUUGAAAAGAGCGAAAAUAAUAGAUUAUUUGCAAUUACAUUUUAUCUACCUAAUGAAAUCUAACUGUAUUAAGUCCCUCACAAAUACAUUAACUUACUAAGACCAUGUAAAAGAUUUGAUUGUUCUAUAUUAAUAGUAAAACUUAUAUUAAUUUGAUCGUGCUGAGUGUGCAAUAAUAGUUGGACUCACAGAAAAGACCAAAAAUAAAAUACGAAAUUGAAACAUCCGCUCACAUGAAUGAUUUGGUAAAACAUCAUACUUGCAAAUAUAGGUAAACAUAACGCCUUCUUCAGAGGACUAAGAGUGGAGUGACAAAAAAAAGGGGUAUAAUACUCCUCUACAUUUUGGUGAUCUAGGAACAAAAUAUUUAAUGAACAGUAUCAACUAGAAUAGUGACAAAUAAAAAUUGUUGCGAAGGUGUAAAAAAUAAAAUCCUUCUUCAAUAUAUUGCCAUAUUCCCCUCCAUUUAUUAUUUCUUAUGCUUCCCGCAUUCUCUUUGCCAGGCGCGUUUUGAGUGCUUGCUCGGCCAAUUCAUUUCGGACCACGGACAAGUGGCACUUUAUUGCUUCGUUCCUGCCAGAAAGGGGUCCGGUAAUUUUUUUUGCAUCUUUUGACUGAUAUGUAGCACAAAAAAUAUCUCGCCUAUGAGUACAAAAUUGGCGUUACAAAAAAUCGUUCCUGCCAAACUCGUGGGGUUAUUUGCCUAAAUAACUCCCUUCACAAAAAAUAUUCCUAAAAUGAUUCAAUUUCAUACUUUAUUCUCAUAACUGACUUUUCUAUUAUCCAUCUGAUCAAAUUCAAAUGGAAAUGAGAAAAAGGGUAAAUCCCUUCGUUAGCCAUUAAUAUAUCUCAAAAAUCCCUUACAUAAAUAUAAUACUCUACUAUGAAUUUAUCUUUCCUUUUCUAACUAUAAUACUCAACUUUACCUUUGUUAGUCGCUUUACUAUACAAAAAGUUUUGAAUACUUAAUAUAAAUCUGACGAUAUUUUCAAAUAUGAAAGCAAAAUUCUCGAAUACUUAACAUAAACUUGACAAUAUUUCUAAACAUGAGAGCAAAAUCUAUAAUUUGACUAUUCAUUUUCGUUUCAGUUACGAUAAUUUUCUCUUUAUGAUGCUUUCUUUCUUAUUAAAAAAAGGAAAAAAAUAAAAGAAAAACUCACUACAAAUCCAGGGAAACUGGAAUUAUCAUCAAAUACGAAAGCAAAAUCUAAAAUUUUGAUUGUUUAUCUCUGUUCUAGUUGUGGUUAUUUUUCCUUUCUGAUGCUAUCUUUCCUAUUAAAAAGAAAAAAGAAAAACUCAAUACAAAUCUAGUAAAUUUGGAAUUAUUAGUAUAUUUGUACAAAACUCUCGUUCAUAUGAUUUUAGUUUUUAUUUUGUUAUGGUGCAUUGAACGAGAACUCAUGGUGCAUGUGGCUAUAUGGGAAGAAUAGCAUGUAGAGGAGUCUUAUGCUUUUAUUUUGAAUGGAUACCUCCUCUGUUAAUAAUGGUGGUAACGAGAAUUUGAUUGAGAAAACGUGCAGGAGGCUGCUUCUUAUUAGGAGAUAAGGUCAGAAGAUUAGUAAUAAAAUUUGAAGUCGAAUCAUUGUAGGAAUAUUUUUUGAAAAAAAUAUUAUUUUGGUAGAAGACUCUAAUGUGUUUGAUAGUAUAUUAUUUGGGAAUAUUUUUUGAAAAAAAAUUAUAAAAUAUUUUUAAUAUAAUGUAUAUAAAAUAAAAAAUAAUUAAAAAAUAUAUUAAUGAUACAAAUAAAUUUUGACAGAUAAUCUACCAUCCAAACACACUCAACAGGCAAUGCCAGAAACAAAGGUUAACCACCCAAAACCUUCUAGGCAUGCCAUAAAGAAAGGUCAUUGCUCUACGUGUUAACCAGCUAGAACCUUCUAGGCAGUGCCAGAAAGAAAGCUCCACAACUCUACGUGUCAACCGCUUAAAACCCUGGAAGAAUGGUAAAGAUGCUUUUAAUAAAAUUAAAGUUUAAAAAUUAAAAUCUGAACUCUGAAUUCAUCAAAUUACUAAAUUGUUAAAUAUUAUAUACCAUACAUUUGAAUGUAUGUCACAUUAAGUGAUAAAUAAAUAAUUUAUCCUUUAUUUAUUGAAAUAAAUUUUGUGUAAAAAAAUUAAUAUUAUUUAAUUAAUUCAAAUAUUUUAUUUUUUAUUAUUAAAUACGUCUGAAUAUAUUAAAAUCUGAAUCUAUUAAAUUUAAGUGAUAUUAAGAUCUAUAAUUACCAAGUUAAUCAUGAUAAAGAAAAGAGUUGUUAGGGACAAAUAUAAAUAAUUAAGGACUGCUUUGUGACAAAGUCCCGUGAGUCUGGUCCAUCAAUUAAAUUACUUCAUCCAUCCAAUCGAGAUGAACUUGAGUGUUUUUUUUUUUUUUUUUUUUUGGAGAUGAACUUGAGUGUGAAUUGCUCUUCCACGUUUUAUUUGUCCACUUGUCUCAAUUGACAAUGACUCUUUAAGAUAACAAAAAAAAAUCAACUGAAAUCAGUGGGAUCUCCGCAAUUAAUGGCAGAAUAUACUAGUGUUUUUAUAUAUUCCUUCUACGUCUAAUUAGUCCCGUUUCAGGAAAGGAAAAAUAUACACACAAAACACAAGUCUAGCUCAGAACUUAGCGGUGACCGAUUCUACCUUCCUUUUUGGUAUCAUACCUCGAUCCUAAAUUCACGGUUGAAUGGUCAAAUAUUACUAUUUUUGACACUUAGAUGGUUACAGUUUCAAUCGUUUAAAUUAUGGGUUACUAUCAUCGUUGAAAGAUACGCAUUGAGGGAACGGUAUCCUAAGAAGACUAUAGAAUUUUCCUAAUGGAUUAUACAACAUAUUAUAUUUGAAAAAAAAAAUACUUCUCACACAGUUGUGUUUGAUCUCAACGAAUCUUCACUAUUUUAAGUUGGUGUGGAUCACAAUUAAUGUCAUGACUUUACAUGAAUAUCAAAUAAGGGUGCACGAAUAUUAUAAUAUGAAAAGUACAUGAUAUGAAAAAAAAAAAUAAUUGUGUUUGGUUAGAAAAUUAUUUGAAAUAAUUAUUAUAAUACUUUUUAUGAUUUGAUAUGUGUAAGAUAAAAAAAUAAUUAAAAAAUAUAUUUAUGAUGUAAUUAAAUAAAUUUGUUUGACAAAUAAUGCCCAUCCAACCGCACUUGUAUGUACUCCUUUUCAAUUUCUUUAUGUAGAAUAUUUUUUUUGGUUAAUCGUCAAUUAUAUCUAUAUAAUACUUUAUUCUAAUUUAAUUAAAAGAGGGUCAACUGGACCUACAAAAAGUUGAUGGGAACAGAAUUACCAUCAGAUCGGACAGGUGCAUCAAGCAUCCAUUUGAAUUUUUUUGAAGAAAUAAUUAAUGUGGCAAUUAGUGGAUGGUAAAAUUUGCUACUUUAAUAGAAUAUUUUCUUGAAUAUUGAUUUUUGACAUGUCUUUUGUCAAGGCCAUAAAUCAACCCGGGCCUACUCCACAGUUCACAGCGAUUCCCGCCGACGAUGGAUAUCUUAUCCACAAAAGCAUGUUCCUACCGCACUAUUAUAUAUUAUUCCGUCAUCCCCACCUCCUUCCUCCUCACUCCUCCCUCGCAAAACAGUAAACUCUGAUCCAUUCCACUCUUUCCUCUGUGCUUUUUUGUCUGAAAAUGGCAGCACCAGUGACAGUGCCAAGAAUCAAGCUGGGCUCGCAAGGUCUUGAAGUUUCAGCUCAAGGGCUGGGCUGCAUGGGCAUGUCAGCCUUCUACGGGCCACCAAAGCCCGAGCCCGACAUGAUCAAACUUAUUCACCAUGCUAUUAGCAGAGGCAUCACCCUGCUUGAUACCUCUGAUGCUUAUGGACCCCAUACCAACGAAAUCCUCAUCGGCAAGGUGACUUUAAUCAUAUUUAUUUGCAUUUUUCUGCAGUUGUGCGGUAUGCAUGAGCUCUUGUACUUUUAGUUUUGACUUUGUUCUUGGUUGCUUUAGAUUUUGCAAAAUUUGAUUAUGGGAAGUGUUUAUAAAAAAUAAUUAGAAUCAGCAAAAAUUGUGCUUUGGCCAAUUAUGAAUUUCAGAUUUUUUGGUUAUUAAAAAAUUUGUAAUCUGAAGCGUCAUAAAAAUUGAUUAUUCAAAAUUAGAAUAUAUAAUCAAUUAAAAUAACAAACCUGUAGUUAGUGAAUGCGUAGGAACUCUCACUAUCUGGGAAGUCUUUCUGAAAACUACCAGUAUUAGAUAAUUUACUUUCCAAACAGGGCAAUAGGAAAACUGUACUCCUCUAGUCUCCUAUUCUUUCUUUUUCACUUGGAUGUUUUCAUUUGGAUCCUAAUAGGGCACUAUUUACUGCACCUUAAUAAUUUGAUUUGAGUUUCCUUUUUUUUUUUUUCUUUUUUAUUCAGGUUCAUGUGUACGACUCUCUGUCUAUGUUCAUGUUUUGCAUCAAAUCUUAUCAAUGGUAAAGAUAGACUGAAAGAAACAGAAAGAAGAACAGAAAAAAGAAAAGGGAUUGGCUCCUUUAACUGAAUCAAACUUCUAAAGUCCAUGGUUUACAUAAUCUUCAUUCUGCAUGCUACCAUAUUCAAUGGGAAGAAGUAGAAUAGUCUUAAAAAUGAAAAGGAUGGAAAAUCUCUGACAGUUUGUGCCAUGCAUGGAUCACAAAUCAACUUGCUAUAACAUGCAAUAAUAUGUAUGUCCUCGGUGAUUGAUGUUAUGAAAGCAUGGUUGUAGGCCUUGAAGGGAGGAAACAGAGAGAAAGUGGAGCUAGCAACAAAAUUUGCAUUCACUUAUGAGGGUGGGCAGUUUGGUAUACGUGGUGAUCCAGACUAUGUGAGAGCUGCAUGUGAAGGCAGCUUGAAGCGGCUUGGUUUGGAUUGCAUUGAUCUCUAUUAUCAGCAUCGCAUUGAUACAAAUGUGCCCAUUGAAGUCACGGUUUGUUCUAUUUUUCCUUUCUUGUUUUUAAGUUCCACAUUCUUAAUUAAAUAAAAGUUUGAUCAACUUCAAAUAUAGGCAUACAACUGAGUUUCGUGUCCUUUGCAAUUGCUUCAAAAAUACAAAAAUAAAAAAAAAUUCUUAAAAAAUGCAAUUGGUGUACUAUGCAUGUUAGUCUGCAUUAAUGUAAAGCUCAUUUAGCACCAGCAUCUCAAAAUUAAAAAGAACCAUAGUGUUAGUCUUGUAGGCACAAAAAUUGUAGCUUGACGGCCCUGCUGAGGGAGUUACCAAUGGAUAUGACAUGCUAUAGAUUCUAUGGCUUUCCUUUAGGACGAGAAGGCCUGUGUAUUCUCUUUCAUUUGAAAUAUGUAAUCUGGUUGAGUAUUCAUAUGCUAAUUUAUCCACCUUGUCAGUUGUCAGUUGCCACUUCUUUUAAUUCAGUGCAUAAAGCAGCAGAUUGGUACUCAGUUUUUAUCAAAUUGAAGUUUUUAUGGAACGAUUUAUGUAAGUUCUUUUCCUGGUGUAGCCAGCAAAAUAUAUUUUGCUUUUCCUGAGUAGUAGGAAGAAAUUUUCAUAUCGUACAAUCACUCAAAAUACAGGUAAGUUUGAAUGAGAUCAAGCAAAAUUGAUGACUGACAAUUGAUGUGUGCAGCCAUUAGUCUGUUUAAAAGAAGUCAAGAAAGUUGUAUAAUGUUGUAUAAUGUGGUAUAAUGAUAUCAGAGCUAAGUCAACCUGUGAGUUAACAUCAUCAUCAUCUAGAGAAGUAUAUUGGCUGCUUGUUGCCAUUUUUGUCAAGUAGUGCUUUCAGUUUGAUGUAUACUUUGUCAAAGUUGUGCCACUGCACUGAACUAGUUCUUCUUUUCGUUUAUGCAUGUAUAAUUUCAAUUAUCUACCUUAGUAUGGAAAAAAUCAGCUGGGAAAUUUCUCGUCCAUUACAAAAAUUCUAUUUUGCCCAGGUAGGAGAACUUAAGAAAUUGGUUGAAGAGGGUAAAAUAAAGUAUAUAGGUCUAUCCGAGGCCUCAGCUUCAACAAUUAGAAGAGCACAUGCUGUUCAUCCAAUAACAGCUGUACAGUUGGAGUGGUCAUUGUGGACCAGAGAUAUCGAGGAAGAGAUUAUUCCCACUUGCAGGUAGUGCAUUUAUCCUGCUUCAUUUUCUACAUGGUCUGGAAGAAAUAUGAAGUUCUAAGUUCAUUUUGGUGUAAUCUUGUAGAGAGCUUGGAAUAGGGAUUGUUGCAUACAGUCCACUUGGAAGAGGAUUCUUCUCUUCAGGUCCAAAGCUGGUUGAGAAUUUGACUGAUGAUGACUACCGAAAGGUUUGUGAAUAUCCAAAAAGAUUAGUAGUUUCUAGUGUAGCAUAGUCAGUAGCAAUCUUGCUCAAUAUCCCUUUGAUGUCCAAUAAUUUGGUGGAGCUUUUCUGAAACUAUCUAAUUUAAUUAACUUCUGUCCAACAAAGCGGCACAACAAGCUUUUUUCUAUCCACCAAGUCUUCUAGCGUUGGAUUCCAAUAAAUGCAGUUUUUGGCAUUGUUAGAAACUGAACCUUUUGUACAGACAGGAUUGAAAUUGUGUGCUCUGUAUUUAGUUUGAAUUUGAAGAUAGCAAUAGCAUUGUCAAAUAUCACAAGCAGUGGGAGUGUUCUAUUUUAUGGUGGAAGAACAUCCUAGACAUGAGAAAAGGAAGAAACUAUGGCAUUUUUUAGUAAUAUUCUCUUCACAAUUUUGAGGGGAAAUGGACUUACAUUGCAAUGGCAUCAUCUGGUGUUAGGCACAAAAGUUAUACAUUGUCCUCUGAAAUUGUUUUUUUCCCUUUUCAUAUACAUCCUCUACAGUUUGGUUGGUCACAAGUUCACUUGAUAAUACUGUCCAGAUGGUAUGAAACUGUAUUGGAUUUCUAUUUCGAGUUUCCUCUCUGAUGGGAUAUGUUUCUCAGGAUCUACCUUCUACAAUUGAUGUUUCUUAGAGUACUCAGUCCACCUUACUGGAUUGUUCUUUCCCCUGAACUUUGUACGCCUCAAGCAAUAGUAUCGAUCAUCUUGAAGUUAUUCGUAAUGUUUUCAUUUGUAGACAACACGUGUUGCUCCCUUUUGAAUUUCUGGCAUUACAGUUGCUUAAAUUUCGAAAUUCGUACAAUGCAGUAUAUGCCAAGGUUUCAAGCAGAGAAUUUGGAGCACAACAAGAACUUGUACGAGCAGGUCAAUGCCAUUGCUUCAAGGAAGGGUUGUACCCCAUCACAGCUAGCUUUGGCCUGGGUCCAUCACCAAGGCAAAGAUGUUUGCCCCAUACCUGGCACUACCAAGAUUGAGAACCUCGAUCAGAAUAUAGGAGCUUUGUCUGUGAAACUGUCGGCAGAGGAAAUGGCGGAACUUGAAUCUAUUGCUUCGGCUAUCAAGGGUGAGAGAUACGAGUCUGACGCUGGCACUUGGAAAACUUCUGAAACUCCACCUUUGUCAACCUGGAAGAGGACAUGAAGGCGUACCUUUGUGAUGGCAAUAAUCCCUUCUAGCUGUGUGCCUGUUGGUGGAUUUCACUAUAUUGGGAGUUGAGUAACAUGUAUUUGUUCCAAGAAAUUUCGUCAUAUUAUUGUCUCGGGGGUUUAAGGCAUGUAAAGUUAUAAUAAGAAGAAUGGAGUUUUAAGAGUGAUUGUAAUGAAUAAAGAUUUGGUCAUGUAAAAGCAUAUAGUAAUUUUCCUUGCAGUAUGCAUUAAAGAUUAUCUAUUGUACUUCUGAAUAUUAUAGUUUGGAAAAAAAAAAAAGGAAUACUUGUUAUCAUUUGGGGGGGGGGAAAAUACUGUAGCUGUCACGCCUCAUUGCUCGCACGUGCCACGUGCUAGUAACGAGACAUCUGUUAUAUUUCUCGCACGUGUUAGUAACGAGACAUCUGUUAUAUUUCUCGCACGUGUUAGUAACGAGACAUCUGUUAUAUUUUUCAAGGACAAGACAAUAUUAAACUAGAAAUACUUACUUAAAAAAUAAUAGCAUUAAUGGAACUAAUUAUAGUGCGGUAUAACUUUGUAUUUGAAAUAACCUAUAAAUAUUUGAGGAUUUCAUAUGCUAAACAUCAAGUAGAGAUAACAUGUGCGAGUAUCAACUAUUAUAGUAUAGCGAAGUACAACUAUACUACUAAUUCUUAUCUCCUAAAGAUUUAGUAGAAAUAAUUUUUUGGGUUUUGGACAUAGACUAACUCAUAAUAUCCAAAAUCUACAAAAGUAAUAAAAAUGGGUUGAGCGAUGAUUGCUCGGUAGGUAGCAGCUACUGUGAUGUCUCGCAAAAAUUUAUUAUUUUUAAAAUCCAUUCCGAGCAUAUUUAAAUAUUUAAUUGUCCAUUUACUCUGAUUAUUAUUUUCUAACUUUUUUGAAUCUAAUUACAUGGAUUUAUAGUUUCAUUAUAUUUUUUUUAAACUGUCUCGUUUCAAAAUUUAAUUUUUGAAAGCUCAUUAAGUGAAAAUGGUGAAUACGCGAUUAGGGAUUUUAGCUGAUUUGAAAAUACCAUAAGUUGGGAAAAUUGGAGACUUGUACAAUGGUCCUAAAAUAAGUAUUUCUAUGUUUAACUAUUCAAGUGAUAGUUAUUAGUACUAUCGUUAUAAGAAUUUCUUGGAAAUUUCGCUUUAUCACGCUAAAGUUGGAGAUACGCGUUUUUACACGCGCGAUUUAAUUGAGGGACUUUAGACCCUUAUUCUGGGACAAUUAAGAGUAAAUAAUAUUAAUAUGAUUAUAAGUAUAUUGGAGGUUUAGGGCACUAGUGAAAUGAACGCGAGAGAAAUCGAGCACAAAACGCGCGCGUACGCGCACUAUUGAAGAGUUGACUUUUGCACCAAUUCUAGCCACACAUAUAAAGCUUUCUUAGGAAGCUAAAUCCGAUCAAAACACUCUCUCUCUUCCUCACAAAGUGGCCGGCCAUCAGCUGCAAAAAUAACCCAAGGAGUUCAUUAUUUUUCAUCUCAAAAUCUUGCACAAAUCAUUUCCAAUUCCUUACAAAUUUCACACACACUUAGCUUAAUACUUGGAGAUCAUAUUAAGCUGCAAAAAGGGGGAGCUUUUCACGGUUUUCUUGAGCUAAGAGAGGGCCGAAAUUCUGCCUUGUUCACCAACACAAGUAAGUGACGAUCAAUCCUCAAAUUCUUGGCCUAUGGAAGUUGAUUUACACUUAUGAGCUUAGAUAUUCAUGUGGGUGGCUUGUUAUUGUUGGAAAAUUUUGAAUGUGGGCUCUAUGAACUCCCAUUCUUGGGUUGAUGGCUGAUAUGAUGCUUGAAGAUGGAUUUAAUGUUGGUUUAGUGCUCAAAUUGGUAGAUUAAUGGUGCAUACCUAGUAUAAACUUCAAGGAGUGCAUGGAUGUAAAGUUUCCAAUUCUGCCCCUGUUAUGAUCGUGCCUCUUUUUGUUGAAUUUUGAGGUUUUAAUGGUUUGUAUAUGAUGUUUAUCUGUUGUAUAGAUGUUGUAUAAAGUUUCAUCGAAAAAUAUUGAGGUUUGGUUGGUCAAAUGGAUUAAUCUCGCACAGCUAGCAAAACUGGAAAAAAUUUUCCAUAAUGCUCAAACAGCCUUCUUGUUUCAUCCAUAACUCUGUGCUUCGAUGUCAAAAUCAAGUGCCGUCAGUGGCAUUUGAAACUAGACAUUCCCAACUUUCCAACGGUAUAAAAUGCAACUCCUAAUUGCACCCGAGUAUUCCGUAUCAACCGUUUAAAGAUGACUGUCCUGUUUCUCUGUUUUCCUGGAACGAAGUUCAAAAUCUACAACUUGAGGCUCGAAUUUGAGCUAGUUGUGUGCUGAAUUUCAAAACGAUUUCUUCUGUGAAAUUAUAGUUUUAUGAAUGUAUUUUGCAACGCCACCAAUCAUACUCAAUUCCGAGUUGAAUUGAGUGAUUUGUGAUCAAAAUACGAAACCUGCCCUGUUCUUGAAAACCCUAAAUUUUGGGCAGAAUUGAUGCUAGACUUGGUGUGGACUUGCCAAUUGAAUUUCUUGGAGUUGAAACACUAACCAAAUGUACCAUGAAUGUUCCUUAGGCUUUUACCACACAAAUGAACCAUGUUUGAAGGAUUUUCCUUGGUCAAAUGUUUUGGAAUGGAAAACAAAAAAAAAAGCUCAAGGCAGUUUUGCCUUAGGAUUUUUCGAAACUUUGGAUGUUUGGUUGACUACCUUUCCGAAGGUAUUUUUCCAUGAAAUUUGAUAGAGGGAUACCCUUUAUAUCCCUUUAUAUAGGAGUAUUAUAUUGCCGAACUUAGUGUCAAUCCAAGUCCAUUUCGCUGCUCGACUAAAUUACCAAGAUUCAUGACUCGAGUUUGGAAAACCCUUGUUUCACAAGGGAAUUUUGGUAAUUUUGAGUUGCCAUAUCUUAGUACUCAAAACUCCGUUUCUCAUUCCGCUUGUUUUGUUGUAAACUUGGAUUGUGACUCUAAUAGAGUUCCUAAUUUCAAAGGCUAGUUCCAAUCAAGUGAAUUUUGCCGAAUUUUCAAAUUUGGCCAAAAAUCAACUUAAAUCUGCCUUAUGAAACAAAACAGCGACUUUGAGCUUAUUUUUGAAUGUUUUCCAUUUAGAAUCUUAGAAAAGUGUAUUCUAGGAACUUUUAGUACCUUGGAAGAGGUUUCCAACGGUACCAAGUUUUCCAAUUUUUGACUUGUAAAGCGUGAGAUACGAUUUUUCUAAUGUAUCGUAUCAAAACUGAAACUUUCCGAAUUCCAAGGAAAUGGAGUUUUUUCAAGUACUUCUUAUUCCUUCGAUAUUAUUUGAACGUUUUAUACUUGAUUUCCAAAAUGAAAACUAAAUUUCUCCUGUACUUUGAAACCCCACUUGAGAGCCUCGAUUUAGGAUAAUUUGGGCUCGUUUCACGAGACUUUCUAAGAUUGUACUAUGGUAUGAUCUUCUUUAAUAGUAGGGGGUUUGUGAAUGAUAGUCUAUUAUUAUUUGCUCAAGCGCACACGAGAACCUUCAGGAGGAUCCCACAGUGAACGCCUAAAGCUCCGAGGGACAUUUCUUCCUCAUUACUUAUAUUGGUGAGUGUCAAGUGUAUGAAUACUUGAUACAUGCUUGAUUGUUAUGAUUGUUUGGAGAUUUUGAAAAUAGAUGCGAGUGUGUAUUUUACCGCACUCGUUCUUAUUUGAAAUAAAUGACUCAUGAUUCAAAUGUACUAAAUGAAUUAUGAAUGGCUUAAUUGAAUGAAAUGAGAUGAUUGAAUGAUUGAAUGAAAUGAAAUGAUAUGCUAUGGCUGCAUACGUCGUUUGAGUGAAUCUCCUCGACCCUCAAAUGAAAAUGGGGGACGCCCAAACUCAUAGGCCGACCUUGGACUCGAGCCGGUAUGGGUUUGGUCGGAAACCUUGGCGAGCCAUGAGAUAAAUAAGCUCGACCUAAUGAGAGGUCUUGCUUGGCAUACUCGUGGAGUAUCGCCUUAUAAAUGUCUUGCGAGCCCGGGAGGUGCACGGUGGACGGAGGGAAGUAAGUGGUGAUCUACGAAAUGGAAAUACCGACCCGGUUGCCGGAGUGUCAUCGCGGGAAGGUAUACGAAUGACAUUGGCAAAGCAAGUGGAAAUUAGCUCCUGAGAGCUCCAAUAUCCUUGAAUUGUUUCUAUUUACUUUUCCGCUCAGAUUGUUAUUUAUUGCAAUAUUGUCGCUUUACUUGUUAAAUUGAGGUUGUUACUUGAACAAUGUGCUUGCAUGUGUGUUCUUGGCCUCACGAGCGUUUUGCUCACCCUGUAGAUUUGUUUUCCUUAACAGGAUUUGGGUUUGGAGUGAGAUUCGGAGAAAUUUCUCUUUUGUGUACUCUUGUAAUAGGGUUCCAACUCUUUUGUCUAGACUUUUGGGAUAUUAUAUAUUUGAGAAAAAUGCAAUUUUGGUACCUAAACUUUGACGGACGAGCGGUUUUAGUCCCCAAAUUUUGGACGAAAACAAAUUUGGUACCCGAACUUUUAAAUUUUGAGCACAUUAAGUACCCUUGACGAUUUUUUCCCAAAUUGUUACCUGAAAAAGCCAUGUGAUAGUCACGUGUCCGGCCGAAAUGGAAUUAAAAAAGGCCAAAAAUGCAGUUUUGGUACCUAAACUUUGACGUACGAGCGGUUUUAAUCCCCAAAUUUUUGACGAAAACAAAUUUGGUAUCCGAACUUUCAAAUUUUGAACACAUUAAGUACCCUUGACGAUUUUUUCUCAAAUUAUUAUCGAAAAAAGUCAUAUGACAAUCACGUGUCCGGCCACAAUUGUAUAAAAAAAGGCCCAAAAAAUGUCAAAUGCCAUUCUAAUACUAAGUAUUAAAUUUAAGGACUAAUAGCGUAAUAAAGAAAAAAUUCAAGAACUAAAUAACAUCACAUGAGUCAACAAAACCCAAGAACUGAUACAAAUGAGCUCCAAUUCCAGACAAAUUUUGUGACUUGAUUCUUAGAUUAAUGUACUGGAAUUGGAGCUCAUUUGUAUCGGUUCUUGAGUUUUGUUGACUCAUGUGAUGUUAUUUAGUCCUUGGAUUUUUUCUUUAUUACGCUAUUAGUUCUUAAAUUUAAUACUUAGUAUUAUAAUGGCAUUUGACAUUUUUUGGCCUUUUUUUUUAUACAAUUAUGGCUUGACACGUGACUGUCAUAUGGCUUUUUUCGGUAACAAUUUGGAAAAAAAUCGUCAAGGGUACUUAAUGUGCUCAAAAUUUGAAAGUUCGAGUACCAAAUUUGUUUUUGUCCAAAAUUUGGGAACUAAAACCGCUUGUGCGUCAAAGUUUAGGUACCAAAACUGCAUUUUGACCUUUUUUUAUUCCAUUUUGGCCGGACACGUGACAGUCACAUGGCUGUUUCCGAUAACAAUUUGGGAAAAAAUCGUCAAAGGUACUUAAUGUGCUCAAAAUUUGAAAGUUCGGGUACCAAAUUUGUUGUCGUCCAAAAUUUGGGGACUAAAACCGCUCGUGCAUCAAUGUUUAGGUACCAAAACUGUAUUUUUCUCUAUAUAUUUUGGGUUGUAUUAUGGAAGCCCGAUAUAAGGAUUGGAUGAUUGUUAUAUCUCAUUAAGCUUGAACGCUUCCGCGUUAAUUGUAUUUAUCUUUUCUGGUUGUUGAUUUCUAGCACCGCUAUAAGCUUGAAUGGUGAUUGCUUGAGUCCUGGCGAGAAUUGAGCAGGCGUUCCGCUGAUACCCUUUGGUUCGCCUUAGGGAGAAGUGGGGGCGUCACAGCUACUCUACUGUUGUACCAUGUAAUUGUAGUAUUACAUAUAUCAAAGCAUUUUCACACACUUUACAUGCACUAGGAGGAUUCGCACGGUGUAAUUUUCAACCUUGCCCAAAAAUGACCAAUUAUUCAAAUUUACAUAUUAAGUAUGAAAAAUUAUAUAAAAAUGAACUUAAAUCUUUGUGGUUAUAUUUUUGUAGUUUUAUUAAACAGUGAAAAUAAGUAAUUUGUUAAGGUAAUGCAAGAUAAUAUAAUCAAUAGAUUACUGAGAUUAUUAAGAUGUCCCUUGUUUUGGAUACAAUGAAAAGAAAAUAAAAAAAAGAAAGAUAUAUUUGAGGAGAAACUGAUAGUUUUGUUCGUAAACUUUUGCAUGAUUGAAUUGGAUAAUCAUUUACUUGUCCUAGAAAUAAAAGAAAUUAGAGGAGAAAAAAUGAAGAUAGAUGAUCAUGCACUUUAGCUUGACAAAGUCCUCAUAUUGGCUCCUAUAACAUGGAAUAGCAAAUUCAUAACAUAAUUGAAGGGAAAAAAAAAAAGAAAAGAAAAGUCGAGAAAUUUUCAUUGUUUGCUCCGACCUCAACAAAAAGCAACCAGUACUCAAGUUUCGCUUAAUCUGCAAAACAAAUAAGGUGGAACAUGUAAUAAACUUAAACAUUUAUUUAAUUUUAAUUUUAUUUUAUUGUGUAAGGUAAGCUAAAUUUAUAAUAAAAAAAAACAAAAAUUACAUUUCUUUGUACAUGCUGAAAGAAAUAGGAUAAGUGUAAGGAAGAAUCAUUCUCAAUCUAGAAAAAUUGGUGACUUUUGAGCAAAUAAAAAAAAUCAUGGCCAAAGUUUCUUACCAAUAUGAGAGUAACUAUCACAAAUUCGGUGAGUUCAAAGCAAAAGCCCAAAUAAGAAAAUGAAAAGAAAAGAAAGUCAAUGUCAAAAACCAGAAUUUGAGGGGAGAUCUCUUGGUGAUGGCAAUAGUUUCUUUUGUUCCUUUUUAAUAAGAGGAAAAGAGCAAAUUAGCAAUGCAAACAAAGCAAAUAUUAAAAUAACUAAUCUCUAAAGCAGAAAAUGGAGAGAAAAACGUCAAAAUUAUGGAAACUUAGUAAAUACUAAAACUUAUGGGCACUUAAGCGCUAUGGAGAUAAACAAACAUUUAGAUUUUUUAGAUUCCUAAAUUUCUAUCACAUAAAACAUUAGACAUCAAAGAAGUAAACAAAAUUUAGCCCAGGCAAUCAUCAACAAACAAAAACCUCUACAUUAUAUCUGUAAAUCAGAAUUCGAACAUAUUAAACUGUAUCAAAAAAAAAAAAGAGAAAUUCCACCAGGCAUGAUAUGAAAACAACAUAUUUAAAAAACUCUUAUAUUGCACAUUAAAUUUUUUCCCAAAAAUAAUUUAAAAAAUGCCUACAAAUGUCCUACAUCAUGCAACAAAGCACAAACCACAUAUAUAUGUGUGUGUGUAUGGAAAAAGCUAAAAAAUUAAAGGUCAGUAAUAUAAAAAAGAAUAGUCGAAGCAACUCAUGACAGGAUCCAAACAGAACAAACAGCUACGAACAAAUACAAAAAAGGUAUAGUGAUGCAAAUUUGGUAUAAAUUUAUCUUUAAUAUCUGCAUUAUCCCUUUAAUCAAUUCAAAUGUCCAUUUGUAUUGUAAGUAAGAAAAUCACAUAAAAGCAAGAUACCAAGUGUCGGACAAAAUCUAUGUUAAGGCUAGAAGAACCACCUAUUGAUAACACCUUCGAGGGCUGCUGGAAUAAGAAUAUCACAGUCUUCAAGCAAAAUAGAAUUGGGAUCAACACUGUCAGCACCCCUCCAUGGUUUUCCCUGACAUGCUUCCAUAGGUUUAGUACGUCAAUUCCCUUACCGUGCUGCUUUAUGGCUCCUGUUAUAUCACUUGCGCGAAUUACCUUUUCCCCUUGUUCACUGAUAAGUUGAGCAGCCCAGGAUCCGACAUUACCAAAUCCCUGAAAUCAAGAAGAAAAUUCUAUGAUCAUAUGACAUUCGAUAAUUUUUGACUUUUUAACUCGCUCUCUCUUCUCACGAGUCAUGAGACAUUUUGUGAUGUAACUUCUAAGUCCUCAAGGAAGGCUCUUUGAAUGAGCUUGUAGUUUCAACAAAAUGCAUCCCACAGUAUUUGAGCAUAUCAGAAACUAAAGGUACACUUGAAACUACAAAUGCAUCCCACAGUAUUCGAACAUAUUAUAAACUGAAGGUACACUUCCCAGUGGUGCUACUUGUACAACAAAUCAUUGCCUAGCGAUACUCUUUCCAUAUUCAUUAAGCAGCGCUUUAGUUGCAAAGAGUACUCCCCUCCCUGUUGGUGCAUCUCUGCCGAGGGAUCCACCAAGAUCAUGUCACCCAAGAAUUUGAAUAUCUUGCGAUAAAUAAAAGUUGAAAUUUUUUGAGGUUCAAAAUCUUAGAAAUCAAAGAAGCACAUUGAUCCUUAUACAUUUGGAAUUGGAUAAUUUACUACAGGUUUUCCAGUUACUAUUGCAGGUGAAUAGCCAUGAAAUUUAUAGUACUCAUCCAAGCCAUUGUCCGCUCAAAUGCGAGACAUUUCCAAUCCAGUUAAUUGGAUGAGCUUCAUAGACAAUGUUGUGUUUAUCACUAUAUUUUUCUCCAAAAACAAAAAUGUCACCUAGAUAUGUACUCCAAUCAUAUCAUACUGUUGAAAACCAGUUUUGCACUGACCUGUGCAUUUGUUCCCAUAUCAGGCGCAGGAACAUCAGUGUGAACUCUAAUCAAAUUAUUCUUAGUGCUGCUAGUGUAACUCAAAAUUUUGGUCAAUGACUAACUUGGCAUGGAAGUUCUAGAUUCCCAGAGGAGAAAUGUAUUAAUUCAUCAAGUGCUGAAAACCAAUGAAGAAAAGGGAACUGGAAGAACUAAAGCAAAUAGAAAGACAUUUUAAAGAUGAAAAAAUCUAUUUUAAACAACUGAUCUUUUUAGUUAGCAUAUGGAUUGCUUUUUCUGAGCAGGAGAUCAACAAAACACCUGCAUGAAAGACACCAAAAAAAUGACUAAAACGAAAACUCGAAAAGAGAAAAUGCCAAAGAAAAUGGCUAAAAAGAAAAGCAUAACAUAAUAAAGAUAACAUAAUAAUAAUUAAUACAGCUAGAGCAUAGCAUAAGCAAUUAUUACAAUAAAUAAAAAAUAAUAAUUAAUAAUUGUGAUUUAUUUGGCAACCAAAAAAAGCAUUGAUAAUUGUGAAUAAUUGGGAUACCAAUUUUUUGUUAACACAAUUUAUUGUUGGGAAAGGGAAAAAAAAGGCUAAAUUUUAGCACAAUCCUACAUGCAAUUAGAAAACUACCACCUCCCAUCCAAUCAAAACUCGCCACAUCACCAUCUUCAUAAACAAUUGGGAGGACUACCACCAAUGAACGAAUCAGAGGACAACAACUCAUCAAAUUAGAAUCAAUUGGAGGACUACCACCAAUCAGCCAAUGAGAGAAUGUCAAGUCAGCAAUUGAGUUCAAUUAGAGACAAUUGCAUUCACACAUAGACUAUGUAUGUUAAUAACUAUUCAAUAUAACAUUUAACCGGUAACAUAUAAUAUUAAUGUGUGGCAAUGGCAACUUGUAGUUCAUGACAUUUAUUAUCAUACAUAAGGAGUUGCAAGAAUAUAAAUCAUUUCAUAGAUAUUCAUAAUUCAUAAUUUCAUAUACAAUCACAAUCCAAUUAUAUUGAUCUGUUCAAACCCGUUUACUAAUAACCCGUUCAAAUUCACCCAUUAAAAUUUAAACGGGUCUAAGUGAGUACGUAAUUAAAUUCAUUUGAUUGGUGGAUAGUUGAUUGAUUGGACUGACCCAUUUAUACUCAUUUAAAAAUAAAUAUACAUUUAAACUCCAUUUUUACUAAAUGUUAAAAAGAUAAAUUUGAAUUUUCUAUUAAUCUAAUAAUAAUAAUAAAAUAUUAUUUUUUUCUUGUUAAACGACAUGCGAAAAAUUAAAAAAAUAAGUAGAAUUUCAAAUCAAUGAUAAAUGGGAAUAUUAACUAUUCCCGAAAUCAUUUCCUCCCUACGCUUAAUUCAUGCGCGUGUGGCCUCCAGUGUCCAUUUUCCCUUACGGUUCACUACAUUAAUCAUCAGUGUACGUGCACGUGCCUAUUUCUGAGCACGUUCCUAUGGUAGGCACGGUCAAACCGUGCCUGCCAUAGAACGAUCCCCACACGCAUCCCUCAUCAGUCCCGUCCAUACUUCUUCUUCAGGUCUCAGCUACUAAACAAUAAACUCUGCUCCACUCAACUCUUUCCUCUGUCUUGUGUUUUUGUCGGAAAAUGGCGGCGUCAGAUGAAGUGAAAGUGCCAAGAAUCAAGCUGGGCUCGCAAGGUCUUGAAGUUUCAGCUCAAGGGCUGGGCUGCAUGGGCAUGUCAGGCUCCUACGGGCCGUCAAAGCCCGAGCCUGAUAUGAUCAAACUCAUCCACCAUGCUAUUAGCAGAGGUAUCACCCAUCUUGACACCUCCGAUAUCUAUGGACCUCACACCAACGAAAUACUCAUUGGCAAGGUACCAUAUUUGCAAAUUUUCUGCUGUUGUGCGCUAUGCAUAAACUCUUGUACUUUUAAUUUCUUAAAGAGCAUAUUUGUAAAUAUUUUAUUUAUACUUAACCCCCUGCACUUCAAAACUUGUCGCCCUUUGUGCCCCCGUAAUUUUGCUUGUCAGCACUUAAACUCCAUUUGUUUAAAUUGUAAGUAUUAUUAGUCAAAUAGGACAUUGUUCUUCUUUUCUGCUUCUUCAUUUUUUCAUGUUACUGCUUUUUCAGUUUGUCCUCCUUUAUAAACAUGGAAUGAAUUACUUUGACUUUGAUUUUGGUGCAAUUUUGUAUCAAAUGAUUUUUGCUAUGAAGUUAUUGAUUUAUUAUGAACUAUGCGUUGUAUAUUUACACAAAUUCUGCUAGUUAAACAUUCAUUUGAGCAGGCAACAUGAGUAAUAUAAUUCUCUAUGGGUGCAUUUGGUAAAUUUGAAGUUUGAAAACUGAAAUUUAAUCUAAAGUUUGAAUCCAUAAAGUUAUUAAAUUGUUAAAUACUAAAUCUGAUACGUUUGAGUGCAUGCCACACUAAAUGAUAAGUGAACAACUCUAUCACUUAUUUUUGGAGUAAGUGUUGCUUAAGAAAUUCAGUGUCAUUUAAUUAAUUCAAAUAUUCAAAUUUGAUUUUAAAUGCUUCUGAACAUAUUAAGAUCUGAAUUCAUUAACUUUAAGUGCUAAAUUAGUUGUCAAGCAGGGCCUAUAAUUAUUAGGUAACCAAGCAAACGUGUUUAGGGUAUAAUAGUAAUUAACUUUCAAUUCGUCUCGUUGUUCUUUGGUAAGGAAUUCUUUGAUUCAUUUAAUAAUAUUUUUCUCGUACACAGGAAUCAAAAUAAUUGAAGUUUUAUCUCUACCAUUGAGAUAUGUUACCUUCUAAAAGAAAGGAAAGGGAAGCAAACAAGGGCGGAAAAUAGGAAAGGGCAAAGUGAUGAUAAAUAAAAUUGGAAGUAGCAAAAUGAGACAAGUGAAUUAUUACAAGGGGUUAAGUGUAAAUUAUAUUUAUUUUAUUAGACUAUUUAACCAAAAAGACUAGACUCUUUUAAGGCACCAAUCAAAAGUCCCAACUGCUGGAAAUAACAUAAAAACGACUUUGUUUGGUUUGGCGUUUUUGGAGGUGGUUCAUGAAAAUUUUAUUGUAGUUUUUUUUUCUUUCUUGAAAAAAUAUACUUGUAAGAGAAAAAAAAAGUGGUUGAAAAAUAUUGAGAGUUUUUUUUUAUAAAUAGUUUUCUAUAUAGCUCAGUCACCCAAAUUUUUCAAUAUUCCGACAAUGGCAUCCAUGUGGUGUCAAUUGUCAAACGUGCAACAAAGUUGAGAAGAGAAGGAUUUCAAAAUCUUGUAGCUACACGCGUAUAUGUUGAAUAGCUCUAUCCCAUUAGAAGUAGCCACGUGACAUGAAGGAUUUAGAACUUUUCUACCAUCUCUUUAUUUUCUCUUUUUUUUCCCUUCAAAAUUCGACGUCAUAAUGAAAUUGGUAUUUUUGUCUUUGAAGUUAAAACUUUCAUCAAUUAAUGGAAAGUUUACUAUUUCUCUGAUAAGAGAGAGUAAGUUUUAAAGAUUAUGAAAAGAGAAUUGUAUGAAGGAAUAGAAGGGAAAAGAAAGGUAAGAAAAUGGACGGAUUGUGUUUGGAUUGAUUUUGAGAGAGGAAAGGAGAUGAAACGGAAAGAAAAGGAAAUGGAUGGAUUUUGUUUUGCUCAGACAUCAUUUCCAUACAAAAGUAGACGGAAACAGAGGGAAAGAAAAUCUAUUGACAGGUGCCGAACCUGUACAAUAAUAAAUACCUACUCGAGAAAAAUACAGAUUUUGUAUAUAGCGGUGAGUAGGGUCGAAUCCACGGGGACUGGGGAUAAUUCGUUUCUUCUAGAGUCCAAAGUAUGGGGGGUUUUGGAUUGAAUGCUAACUAAAUAAAUAAACUGCAGAAAAUAAUUGAUAAAGAGAAAUAAUUAAGGGAAAACUCUAGCCAAGGGUACACUUCAGACAUGGUUCAGGCACUGAUCAUUGAUUCACACAUAAUUCCACAUUUAUUAAUAGACCAGUUAUAGUUGUCAUGCACGCGAUAAACAACCAACCUUUCCUUAAUUUCUCGAUAGUUAAGGUACGACCGUUAACUAUUUCUCUAACCCAAAAACAACCCUAGGUACGACCGUAGGAUUUAAUUUCUAGAUUGCAUUAAUAAUUAGAAAGGCCCAAUCCUAACUAACAAACACGCUACGGGGGUUUGUUUAAGUUAGAUCGUAUGCUCCCCUGACAUAAACCCAAUUACGCCAGUUGCUACUGAGAUAAAGAUAACGAAUAAUUACGGAUUCAAUUAUCCCUAUUUAGCAAAAUAGCCUAUGUGAAUAAUUAAAUAUUGCGCAUCUAUUCAAUCACUCACACGAGCUAUAGCAAUUAAAAGCAGGAAACAUAUAAAUAUAAAUAAAUUAAGGAAGCAAUUAAAAUAAAUUAGAUCUCACAGUAAUUGUUGAACCAAAUCUUCAGUUGUCCCCUUGAUUUGAAUUAAGAGGUUAGUUCUCCAUUAAUGGAGAACAACCAUGCGAAAGAGCUAAGAAAAGAAAACUCAAAACUCAACUAAAAACCUCAAACUAGUGAUUCAUUCCUCCCCGUUCUCUUGUACGUUUCUCCCUUUUUAAAGCCAAAAGGAAGUCUAAUGCUAUCUCUAGUGGUCCCCACACCAAAUUCAAAGUCUUGUACGUUUCUUUUCCUAGAGUCCAAAUGAUUCAUGCUUCUUAUCCGUGGUCCCCGCACAUGUGGACAAAGCCUUCCAAGUACUUCUUGUUCCAAGUCUCUUUCCGUAGCUUUCUUUGAAGAGCCCAAAUGACUUAUUAGCUUUUCACUAGCUUGUGGUCCCCACCACUCCAAGGGCCCAAGAAUUGAAGUCCUUAGAAGUCUCCCUAUUUUCCAUAAAGUGCUUCCUUUUUGGUAGUUUCCUGCUUCAUUCAUGAAAUUAAGUCCAGAUACCAAAUAUGAGUAAAUAUUAGCAAUUAACACAAUAUUUAUCAGGGAUGAAAGGGGAAAUUAAUAAUAAAAUUACUAACAAAUUAUACCCUAUCAAUUCCCCCCACACCUGAAUCAUGCUUGCCCUCAAGCAUGGGAAAAAUUCAACUCAACAAUGGCUAGCUUUCACAUUAUCAUAGCCAGCUGUGCUUAUACCCAAAAUCAAGAUCUAGUAACAAAGUGUCAAGACAUGUCUCUCCCGGUUAGCUCCUAAGUUCAUAGACUUGUCCAAUUCAUGGCUAAUUCGCUUAGGAAAUCCAAAUACUAACUAGCAACAGUCAAUAACUAAGUCAACUGGCAACCAAAAUCUCAACAAUACGAACCAAGGAUCGGCAGGCUAACAUGAUCAUAAACUCACAUAUUCUCCACAUCUGAUUUUCUCUUCUUUUUUUUUUCUUCUUUUUUGUUUGAUUUCCCUUUUUUUUCUUUUCUUUUUUUUUUUUCCUUUUUCUUCCCUUUUUUUUUUUGGAUUGCUUAGUCCCGAGCUGUUUAAGUCUUUUGACGUGAACUCUAACAUUUUUAGAUGAAAGAGCCCAGUUACUCAACUUUUCACUGCUCCAGGACCACUUACUCAUAAAUAUCGCCACUUUUUGACGCGAGAGCCGACACUUGUGGUGAAGACUCCCGGUUACUGGGUGGCGACACUAGCGGAGUAUAGCCAUACGUUAUUCACCAAUAAACACCAAAAUAUCAAGUAAUUAAAGAUCAUAGCCUGCGUCAUGUCCUAAAUAUGGAGAACUAAGGUAGACAGGAGACCAAUCCACACAACAAUGCCAGCCAAAUAUUUACAUUGCCUAAACAAGUUAGCCAUAAAUUGCACCAAGUCGUUAAACUCAAAAAAAAAUUCACCAAGACAGCAUGCUCUUACUUGCCACCGAAACUCAAUUCAUAGUGUAAACUACAACUAGCAAUAAAUAAAUGAGCUGCCAAAAUAUUCACCAAGAUAACAGCAAGGGAAAAAUACCCAAAAGGGAUAAAGGAACAACACCUAAACAGAAAACAAGAGGAAAACAAUAAUAAAAAAAUGAAAAACUGAAAAUAUCCAGCACCCAAACUGACCCCCCCACACCUAAAAUGACGCAUUGACCUCAAUGCGAAAAGAUAAUAGCAGAAAAAGGGAAGGGGCAACGGUACUUCCCUGAAGUCGUCCAGACAAGGGAGGGUUAGGCGGAAACGGCGGAGGGAAACCGGCUUGCUGCAUAAAUGCCGCUAUACUCUAUGCCAUGCCGGCGACAUUAGUGUCAACAGUGACCAUCCGAGCCUUCAAAGCCUACGUUUCUGAAGCCUUUAUUGGGCCACAUAAAACGCGAUUGAAAACGCGCCUUCAACUCGCGUUUUCUAAGUCGCGUUUCCUUCACAAAACUUGCAGGACUUAAAACGCGAUUGAAAACGCGCCUCUAUGCAGGUAAACGCGACUUCAAGUCGCGUUUUUGAAUCUUGACCCCUUCCUGCACUUCAUCACGCGGGCGCGUCAAGAGGAAAUGCCACCUACAUAUUAGCAACAACGAAAACUGAAACCCAAAAUCAGUCGAAUUCAAGGGAAAUAUAUUUAAACUAUCACACGAAAUCAAACAAACAAUUAAAAGAAACAAUUGGGUUGCCUCCCAAGUAGCGCCUUUCUUUAAUGUCUUUGGCUAGACAUGCUAUGCUUGUUCACGGGGGAUAAAAUCUUGUGGCUCGUUUCAAUGUUUCAUCUUCAAUAUGAUCCUGGUAACCCUCAUAGAUGGAGUAAUCUUUGAGCACACGAGUUACGGGCUUCCAUGGACUAGUAAAUGGCGUUAAACAAGUCAACAAUGAUCUGCAUUCUCCACUCACUCCUCCACCACACGCAUUCAUCGGUUCAAGAUAUUUUUCCAUUGCCACUCUUAACUUAUUCCUGUCAUGAAAUUUCAGAUUUUCUGGUAUAAUAAAAUCAAUUUCAGUAACAGGAAUUGAAGAGGAGGAAUUAGGAAAAUAUUGAUUAAGGAGUGGAGAAGAUGUCACCGCAUUUGGAAAUUGUUCACUGGAUUCAUUCACUUGAAUAAUUUGAUGUUGGAGUCUCAUGUCUUCCGCUUCAACUUCCUUUUCAACUGUAUCUUUGGAUCCUCCUUCUUGAGACUCUUGCAGUUCCAUAUCACUUGUCAGGAUAAUUGCACUCUCACCUUUCUUAGAGUCAUUGAUGGUCUGUGAGGGCAAGUCUGACAUGAAUGACGAUUGUUGAGACUCUUGCAGCUGAAAACUCAUUGGCCCCUCUUCAUAAUUAACGUUGGAGUUAUCCCACCAUCCUUGAUCAUACCGGUUUGAAUAAGGGUCAUACCACGUUUGAGAUCGAGGUGAAGAAUCUCCAAAUUUUUUUUUGAGAUAGUCACUCAGGUAGUCUUGAUAUUCGGGGCACAUACCGGUUGAAUGAUCCCUGGCAUAACAAAUUUCACAGGUUGCAGCAGCCAUUCUUUCUCUAACAGAGUUUAGUGCCUCUGCAUAUGCAGACCUCACAAAAAAACUAGCCUCAUUACCUUCCCCGGAAAUAAAAUCCAGUAUAUCACCAAAAUACGGAGUGUAAGAAACCAUAAACUAAAUAAAAAAAAAGAAUGUAAACAAGAUGAAUUGAAAAAGAAACAAAUAACUAGCGCCAGUCCCCGGCAACGGCGCCAAAAAUUGACAGGUGCCGAACCUGUACAAUAAUAAAUACCUACUCGAGAAAAAUACAGAUUUUGUAUAUAGCGGUGAAUAGGGUCGAAUCCACAGGGACUGGGGAUAAUUCGUUUCUUCUAGAGUCCAAAGUAUGGGGGGUUUUGGAUUGAAUGCUAACUAAAUAAAUUAACUGCAGAAAAUAAUUGAUUAAGAGAAAUAAUUAAGGGAAAACUCUAGCCAAGGGUACACUUCAGACAUGGUUCAGGCACUGAUCAUUGAUUCACACAUAAUUCCACAUUUAUUAAUAGACCAGUUAUAGUUGUCAUGCACGCGAUAAACAACCAACCUUUCCUUAAUUUCUCGAUAGUUAAGGUACGACCGUUAACUAUUUCUCUAACCCAAAAACAACCCUAAGUACGACCGUAGGAUUUAAUUUCUAGAUUGCAUUAAUAAUUAGAAAGGCCUAAUCCUAACUAACAAACACGCUACGAGGGUUUGUUUAAGUUAGAUCGUAUGCUCCCCUGACAUAAACUCAAUUACGCCAGUUGCUACUGAGAUAAAGAUAACGAACAAUUACGGAUUCAAUUAUCCCUAUUUAGCAAAAUAGCCUAUGUGAAUAAUUAAAUAUUGCGCAUCUAUUCAAUCACUCACACGAGCUAUAGCAAUUAAAAGCAGGAAACAUAUAAAUAUAAAUAAAUUAAGGAAGCAAUUAAAAUAAAUUAGAUCUCACAGUAAUUGUUGAACCAAAUCUUCAGUUGUCCCCUUGACUUGAAUUAAGAGGUUAGUUCUCCAUUAAUGGAGAACAACCAUGCGAAAGAGCUAAGAAAAGAAAACUCAAAACUCAACUAAAAACCUCAAACUAGUGAUUCAUUCCUCCCCGUUCUCUUGUACGUUUCUCCCUUUUUAAAGCCAAAAGGAAGUCUAAUGCUAUCUCUAGUGGUCCCCACACCAAAUUCAAAGUCUUGUACGUUUCUUUUCCUAGAGUCCAAAUGAUUCAUGCUUCUUAUCCGUGGUCCCCGCACAUGUGGACAAAGCUUUCCAAGUACUUCUUGUUCCAAGUCUCUUUCCGUAGCUUUCUUUGAAGAGCCCAAAUGACUUAUUAGCUUUUCACUAGCUUGUGGUCCCCACCACUCCAAGGGCCCAAGAAUUGAAGUCCUUAGAAGUCUCCCUAUUUUCCAUAAAGUCCUUCCUUUUUGGUAGUUUCCUGCUUCAUUCCUGAAAUUAAGUCCAGAUACCAAAUAUGAGUAAAUAUUAGCAAUUAACACAAUAUUUAUCAGGGAUGAAAGAGGAAAUUAAUAAUAAAAUUACUAACAAAUUAUACCCUAUCAAUCUAGUUCAUGAUUUUCUAGUAAAAUGCCUCAAGCACCCAAAAUUUUACGUAAACUUGAGUAAGCAUGUAUUUCAUAUCUGUAGAACUUGCCAUUUGUGAAACCUGCUUUAGAUAUGAAUUGUGGUAUGCAACAGCACGCUAGGAAUGUUUGGCUAAGCAACUUAUGUAAAUAUUUUAUCGUUAAGCAAAGUUCCUCCUUUCAUGUCUGUCAUUCUAUGCAAACCUCCUUUUAUCGUUAAGCAACUUAUGUAAAUAUUUUAUGUAAAUAUUUUGGUUUUCUUACUUUCCCAUCCAUAUCUAAUCCAAAUAUGACAAAUGAGAACUAUUUUCCUCUACUCUCCUUUCCUUUCUUUUUUACUAGGAUGUUUUAUUUAUUUAUUUAUCCUUUCCUUUGAUCCAAAUGGUUCCUAAAAGGGCACUAAUUAAUCUACAUUGAUCAGUUCCCUAUAUUUGUAUUAAUGUGCAUGUACACGAUUCUGUGAAUGACAAUUAGGCUAGAUUGCUUCAAAUCUUGUGAAUGACAGAGCUAGAUUGUAAAUUUAAGUUGAAGAAAUAUAAAACAAAAAGAAAAAGAAAAUGGAUUGGCUCCUUUAAGAGUAUCAGACUUCUAAACCCCAAGGAUUACAUAAUUUUCAUAUCCUUUGCCACACAAAGAAGUGGCAUAGCCUUAACAAUGAAGUGUUGGAAAAACUCCAGAAGGACUGUGCAAUCCAUGAAAUCACAAAAUCCGCUUGCUAUACCAUGCAUUAAUGUGUAUGUCCUUGAUGAUUAACAUAAUGAAAUCAUGGUUCUAGGCCUUGAAGGAAGGAAUAAGAGCGAAAGUGGAGCUAGCAACAAAAUUUGCAAUCAGUUAUCAGGAUGGGAAAUUUGAUGUAUGUGGUGAUCCAGCCUAUGUGAGGGCUUGUUGUGAAGCGAGUUUGAAGCGGCUUGAUGUGGACUGCAUUGAUCUCUAUUAUCAACAUCGCAUCGAUACACGUGUGCCCAUUGAAGUCACGGUUUGCUCCAUUUUGCCUUUCUUGUUUUUUAGCUCCACCUCAUUCUUGAUGAAACAAAAGUUUGAUCAACUCCAAAUUUAGAAUAAUUCAGUUUCAUGUCCGUUUCAAUUCUUCAAAAAUUGCACAGAAAAGUUAGUCAACCUUAUGGUCUAGGCUAAUCUGCAGUAUGGUAUUGCUGAAUUAGCACAAGGCAUCCUGAAAAGUGAAAACAAUGAAAAUGUCUUAUAUUAGCUUGACAGUCCUGCUGAGGGAUAUACAGGUUGAUAUCAUGCUAUACAUUAUACAGCUUUCGUUUAGAACCAAGAGACCUGAGCAUUCUUUUUCAUUUGAGAUAGGCUAUCCAGUUGAGAUAUACUAUUUACUUACCUUGUCAAUCGUUUUCAGUCGGUGCCAAAAGCACUGCAGAUAGACGUUUUUUAGUCAAUAUCUAAAAACAUGGUACUCAUUUUGUUCAGAGUAUAGCUUUUUGUCUAAUUGUGAAAGCCAACUGCAACUGCCUCAUUGACCUCUCCAAGCAAUUCAAAGAUUUCAGCAGCUUGCUUACAUUAAGCUUUUAUGAAACGAUUUCUCUGUCUUCUUUUUCUCAUGUAGUCAGCAAAGAAUUGUCUUGUUUUCCCUGAGUAUUAGGAAGAAACUUUCUUGCAGUUUAAUCACUCAAAAUACAGGCAAGUAUAAAGGAAAUCAAGCAAAAUUGGCAACUGAUAAUUGCUGCGUACAGCCAUUAUUAUAUAUAUAAGUCAACAAUGUCAUGUAAUCAUAUUGGAGGAGCAUUAUGUUGGCAUGGUCCAGUAGAACUAAGUCAUCCGUUGGGCUGUACAUAGAGAACUAUCACUGGAUGCUUAUUGCCAUUUUCAUCAACUAGGGAUUUCAGUUUGACGUAUACUUUGUCCAAGACUUCGUUGAACUAGUGCAACUUUUACUUGUUCCACGUAAUAUUUCGAUUAUCUGCCUAAGUAUUGAAUGUAAUAAAUCAGCUUCGCAUCUUCUUGUCCAUUGAAAUUCUCUAGAUUGGAGAGCUCAAGAAACUGGUUGAAGAGGGUAAAAUAAAGUAUAUAGGUCUGUCUGAGGCCUCAGCUUCAACAAUUCGAAGAGCACAUGCUGUUCAUCCAAUAACAGCUGUACAGUUGGAGUGGUCAUUGUGGACCAGAGAUGUCGAGGAAGAGAUUAUUCCCGCUUGCAGGUAGUGCGUAUAUUCUGCUGCAUUUUCUACAUGGUCUAGAAGAAAUAUGAAGUUCUCAAUUCAGUUUUUGGUAUAAUCUUUCAGAGAUCUUGGCAUAGGGAUUGUUGCAUAUAGUCCACUUGGACGAGGUUUCUUCUCAUCAGGUCCAAAGCUGAUCGAGAAUUUGGCUGAAGGUGACUUCCGAAAGGUUUGUGCAUAGCCAAAAAGAUUGUUUAUAGUUCGAAUAAGUUUCUCACUCAGUGGCAAUCUUGCUUGAUCACAUUUAAUCAAAUUUCUAUUAAGCAUAGCAAUUCAACGGGUUUUUUUUUGUUUUCUUCUUGAACAAGUCUUGAACUCUUUAGUUUGAUUCAAUGAAUGCAGAUUUUGGUGUCCUCGGUACUUAGUUCAAAUUAAAAGAUAUAGCACUAGCUUUGUCAAAUUUUAGAUCUUAUAUGAAUUGAAGGUUGUUAUUGCAUGCUGGAAAUUUAUAUAGAGGACAACAAUCGCAAGCAAUGGAUGGUAUUGAAUUUUAAAGUGCAAAGACGUCCUAAGAUGUCAAAACAGGAAGAAACUAUGCCAGUUUUUAAGUAAAAGUCUCUUUACUGUUUUGAGGGGAAAUGGGCCUUAGACUUCAAUUUCAUCAUUUAGUCUCAGGCACAGAACUUAUGUUGUCUUGUGAAACUAUCAUUUUUCUUUUACCAUUAAUCCUAAAACUGAGUUUCAUUGGUCAGAACUCAGAAGUAUACUUCAUAGUUGAUUUGUAUUUUAAGUUUCCUCUUUGAUGGGAAAUGUAUCUCAGAACUUAACUCCAACAGUUGAUGAUUCCUACUUGGGAGUAUUCAGUCCACCUUGAUGCAUUGUUCUUUCCCCUGAACUUGUGCCCUUCAAACAAUAUUUCUGAUCAUCUUGAAGUAAUUAGUACCGUCUGUUCAUUACUCCCUUCUGAUUUCUUGCAUUAUAGUUUCCUCUUUAAUGGGAAAUGUAUCGCAGGAUCUACCUUCUACAAUUGAUGUUUCUUUCCCCUGAAGUUAUUCGUAACGUCUUCUGGCAUUAUAGUUGCUUAAAUUUUGAAAUUCAUACAAUGCAGUAUAUGCCAAGGUUUCAAGCAGAGAAUUUGGAGCACAACAAGAACUUGUACGAGCAGGUCAAUGCCAUUGCUUCAAGGAAGGGUUGUACUCCAUCACAGCUAGCACUGGCCUGGGUCCAUCACCAAGGCAAUGAUGUUUGCCCCAUACCGGGCACUACCAAGAUUGAGAACCUCAAUCAGAAUAUAGGAGCUUUGUCUGUAAAACUGUCUGCAGAGGAAAUGGCGGAACUUGAAUCCAUCGCUUCUGCAGGAGUCAAGGGUGAUAGGUAUGGGCCUGGCCUUGUUACUUGGCAAACUUCUGAAACUCCACCUUUGUCAACCUGGAAGAGGACAUGAAGACAUAUCUUUGUUAUGGCAAUAAUUCCUUCUAGCUAUGUGCCUGAGGGUGGAUUUCACUAUAUUGACAGUUGAGUGACGUAUUUGUUCCAAUAAAUUUCGUCAUACUAUUGUCUCGAGGUUUUAGGCAAGUAAAGUUAUAAGAAGAAUGCGUUAAAGGUUUCUUCAGAGGUUGUACUGAAUAAAAAUCUGAUCAUGUAAAAAUAGAACAUAAUUUUCCUUGCAGUUGAAUGCGUUAAAGGUUAGCUAUUCUAGUUUUGAAUGCUAUAGCAGUCCAUUUCUUAUAUGCUACACUGUUACAAGAGAUAUAGACUGUCGAACAGCAUUUUAUGGUCGGAAUGUUUACAUCAAAAGCAUCUCCAAGGACAUGUCAUUCUAAAGUGUAUAAACUACAUCAUACCAACAAAAAGCAGAAAAAGGCCUAAGGUAUGGGAUAUUUCUAAAAUUUCAUGGGAGGCUUGUGAUAGCAAAAACUUCUGAAAUUGUCCCUUGAACUAAACUGAAAGACAGACAAUGGUAAGAUUUUAAGCAUGUCUUGUUAAGUUAAAAGGUUAAAACUUUACAUACAAAUAAAUGGUCAAAUUCACUUUAAAAUUGUGGUGUCAUCUUCCACCUUAAACUUUUGUACUAUCCAAGUUUGUUUUAAUUCCUUUGGGAAAAUGAAACAUCGAAUGCAUUCAAAAAAAUGGAAAGGAAAUGGCUUACCUUUGCACUUACGUAUCCAAUUCCAAUUUGAACAUUACAUCAUCCAUCCAAUUGAAAACAAACUCCUAUGGAGAUUUUUUUUUUUCCUUUAUUUUGUUAUUAGAUCUGAAUUUAUUUCACAUUUGGUUGUCAGAUCUAAAAUUUUUUUCAAAGUUUGAAUCUAUUUCAAUAUAUUUCAUUAUCAUUAUUGAAACUUAAAACAGUUUAUUAACAAAUCUGGCGAUUGCCAUAUGUACGAAAGGGAGACACUUUUAAAAUUCUUUAUAUUUUUUUAGAUCUGUUUGUAAUUUUCAAUUCUACUGUAUCUGUUAAAUUAUGAUCUGUAAUUUUUAAUGCAUGUUUGACCUACCAUUAGGGGAGUUAUGUAAAUCAAAUCAUGUUAGAUGAUUUCCAAAAAAAACUUAACCGUUAAUUUCUCUUCCCCGUUUUAUUUGUCCACUCUUCAAUUGUCAAUAACUCUUUUAAGAUACUUUGUAAUACAAAAUCAACUAAAACCGGUAGAAUCUGUAAUUAAUAGCAGUAUUCAUAUCAUGUUUUUGUAUAUUACUCGUACAUCUAAUUAGUCACAUUUGGAGAAAGAAAAAAAAAAGAUGAAAAUAAAAUUCCCCGAAUUUUGUGGUUUUUUUUGGUGCCUUGUUUAAUCUCUAAUUUUGUUUUUUGGGUUUUUAUUUUAAUCGAUUUUGGUUAUAGAGAUUAAGUUUCUCAGCCCGAUUAAUCGGUUAAUUAAUUAAACAUGGUUUGAGUUGGGUUGGUUUAGAGAUUUGGUUUAUAAAAGGACACUUGGCAAGUUUAGAAGGGGUGGGAUAGGGAAUGAGAUAGGGUGUGAUACAGAGAUCCGUUGCGCAUGGCGAGCCACAUUUAAAAAUUGGUUCCUACCAUAAAGCCUAUCAUGUCCUGACACAAGAUGGACUGUUUUUUUAAAUUUUUUUUGAAAGCAAGUGAAAAGUGUUGCAACUCAGGACUUGGAUAGUAAUUUUAAAAUUUAAUAGUGCACCUACCUUUUAACUUUUUUCGUGUGCUUUUAAGGUAUCAAAUGGGGAAAAAAACCAAUACCAUAUAACUUCAAAUGCAAGAUGGUACGAAAUUUGUUAAUAUGGAGAUGUUAAUAUACAUUGACAUGUAAAAAGUGCACUUUUAUCAAAAAGAUAUUUAUACUAAUAUUACAGUCAUUUUUUUUUCGAAAAUUCAACUUUUCAUGCAAAUAUGUAAUCAAUAUGCAUAAAUAGAUAGCAUUAGAUGAAUUUAAACAAGUAGCCUUCAAAUUUAAAAAUAUUUGAUUUCGUAAAUGUGCAUUCGCGAUUUAGAAAAAGUACUUUUCAAAUGGCAAAUCUAGAGAGCAAUAAAUACUCCUAGUUUAUUUUGAUUUUAAAUCUUCUUUUGACUUGUCAAAAAAGUGAAAACAUGAAACUAAUAAUGGGUCAGAUGCAGAUGAGUAUUAGAAAUUUGUUUUCUAGACUCUUUGGUCUCGCAAUUUUUUCAACAAUCAACUCCGACCAUUAUCACGGUCAUGUGAUUGUAGGUCUACCAGGUUUCGUAGUCCACGACAUGGAUUGGAUAUGUUGAUUAGCUGCCACCUUUUGGCGGGAGGUGAGGUUCAAACCUCACCUGCAGUAAAAAAAAAAAACUUAAGGGUUGUGUCAUAGUACUUUCUUGAUUUAGUUGAAUAUGUAUAUCCACUAACACCUAACACAAGUCUCCUUAUGCUCCCCUAGAUUAGGAUAGAAUAGGAUAUACAAUUGUAUCGUUGCCGAAAAAAAAUAUUAGUUGCCACCCUAUUGUCAUUAUUUUUCUUUUGUCAAUCAGCAACGUCUAUUCUACUCAUAGUUAUUAAACCCGGCCCGGGAAGGAGUCCGGUGAAAGAGCUGGGUCAACGGGUUACUGGUUUAACCGGUGGGUGAGUGGUCCAACCGUUAGGUCACUACAUAUAUUUAAAUAUUAUGUUUUAUAAUUUUUUACGCCAUAAUAAAUAUUCAGUUAGUUUAAUUUAUUAUAGAUUCAUUAAUUUUUAUAAGAAUUAACAACCUAAAUUUAAUUAGUAAUCCACCAACUUUCAAGUAUAAAAUUUUAUCUCAGUGUAAUUAUCUAGUUUAUUUAUGAAUUUUAAGUGCAAAAGUUUAUUAAGAAUAAUAUUGGCCUUUAAAAUGAUUUGUGUAAUAUGUUAUUUUUAAGUCAAUUUCAUAAUUUAUAGAGUUCAGGGAAUAAUAAAAAUAUUAUUAAAAGAUUCCAAAUAAUUAAUACUCUAAUAUAUAGUAUAAGAACAAAAUAAUUAAUAUAUGGUUGGCUGGUCUAGUGGUAAUGGUAGUCUACUUUUUUGCAUGAGAUCACGUGUUCGAAUCUCCAUUCUAGCAAUAUUUAUACAUUUUUUUCUUUUUCGUAGAACGGGUUCAAUGUUGAAACGAUCUUAUCAAGAACUCGGCUCGGUUUCAUGGCCGGUUUACCGGAUUGAUCGAUUGAACUGCCGGGCCGGAUCGGAUUUAAUAACUAUGAUUCUACUUCUAUUUUGAUUUCUAUUUUAGGGGAAGGGGAGGUCCAAUUGAAAAAUUGAUAGCUAUUGAACCAUCAUCGGAUAAAAUGAGUGCACUAUGCACGUAUGCGAAUCUAGGAGAAGCCGGCGCAAUGAUGGGAGGCAAUGUUUGAAUUUUUACCUGUCAUUCCACUAAGAUUUAUAGUCUUUGGUGGUGGCUAAUCACCCAAAGAGCUGUUGGUUAGCUCCCACCCUAUUAGAAACUAAAGGUUUUCAACCUUCUAAAAAAAAUGUUUUUGACUUUAAAAAAAAAUGUUUUUGUUUUUGUUUUUUCAAAAAUUAUUUUCAUCUAUCACCAACGGCAGUCAUGGGUUAUUUAUCCAAACAUAGAUCCGAACAACACUAAUCUCUCAGCAGCCAUCCCCUCAUUCCUUCUUGUAUCCUUUUUAUGAAUAGGAUUCAUCUUUUUGGUGUUCUAAAAUCACAUUUAAAAAGUUUUUUUCCCGAAAGUGUUAUUAUUUAGGAUGUGAAUGUUAAUUUUAAAAUUUUAAUAGUGGACCUAAAAAAAACUUGUAAAUUUUACAUAUGAGCACAAAGGGAAAAAAAACACCACAUAACUUCAAGUCCAAGAUUGUAUGCAGUUUGUCCAAUAAAUAGAUAUUCAUAAUUCAUAAUUUCAUAUAUACAUGUUAACUAAAAGCGUUAAUCACAAUCCAAUUAUAUUGAUCUGUUCAAACCCGUUCACUAAUAAUCCGUCCAAAUUGGCCCAUUAACUUUAAAUGGGUUAAAGUGAGUAUAUAAGUAAACCCAUUUAAUUGGUGGAUAGUUGAUUGAUUCGUCUUACCCAUUUAUACCUAUUUAAAAAUAAAUAUACAUUUAAACUCAAAUUUUACUAAAUGUUAAGAAGAUAAAUUUGAAUUUCCUACGAAUCUAAUAAUAAUAAAAUAUCAUUUUUCUUGUCAAACAACAUGUGAAAUAUUAAAAAAAAAGUAGAAUUUCAAAUUAAUCAUAAAUGAGUAAUUGAGUAUUCUCAUAUCUAUUUGUUAAAUGGAUAUAAAUGAAUUGAUUCAAUUAUAACUAUUACUCAACUAGAAUCCGCUCAAACCCGUCUAAGUUAAUCAUUUGACACCCCUAAUGUUAAUAUAUAUUGACAAGUGAAAAGUGCAGCAUUUAUCACGAAGAUAUACUUAUUUAUCUCAAUAUUAAAGUCAUUUUUUCAUUACAAAAAUAUUGAUAAUUUCAUAAUUUCAUGGAAGUAUGUAACCAGUGACAUAACAUAGUCGCCAGUGGCGAAUCUUGUCACGAGUCCUCUUUUCAACACUUUGAUUAUGGGAUACACUUUUAACAAUAUGCCCCCACGUUGUUUUUCGAUCACUUUUUUUUUUUAAACCUCACAUUCGUUCGUUAUGUAUGUAUAAUUUCUUUUCAAAAAACUCCAAAAAAGUGGCAGCCCAAACGGGGCCAACAAUCUACUAUGUUCGGCUGUUCUCCCGCCGGACCCACCGCCGGCGGCCAAUAGCCGCCGGACCCACCGGCCGCCGGCGGCCAUGGCCAUGGGUCAUCUAUAAAAGCAUAGAUCAAGACUACACUAAUCCCUCAUCAGUCCAGUCCAUCCAUACUUCUUCUUCAGGCCUCAGCUACUAAACAAUAAACUCUGCUCCACUCAAUUCUUUCCUCUGUUUCUUGUGGUUUUUGUCUGAAAAUGGCGGCAUCAGAAGAAGUGAAAGUGCCAAGAAUCAAGCUGGGGUCGCAAGGUUUUGAAGUUUCAGCUCAAGGGCUGGGCUGCAUGGGCAUGUCAGCCUUCUACGGGCCGCCAAAGCCCGAGCCUGAUAUGAUCAAACUCAUCCACCAUGCUAUUAGCAGAGGCAUCACCCAUCUUGACACCUCCGAUAUCUAUGGACCUCACACCAACGAAAUACUCAUUGGCAAGGUACCGUAUUUGCAAAAUUUCUGCUGUUGUGUGCCAUGCAUAAAAUCUUGUACUUCUAAUUUCUAAAAGAGCAUAUUUGUAAGUAUUUUAGUUGGGUAUAUUAUAUUUAAACCCCUGCACUUGAAAUCUUGUCGCCCUUUAUAUUAUAUACGACAACUGGUCACAUCAAAGUGAAAGAGGAGGGCACUGUAAUUUUUUAUAUUGAAAGGUAUUUAUGUGUAAUUAUCAGAAACUUCAGGGGAGGUUUCUGAAAUUAUCCCUAAUAUUUAUACUAUAUAUAAAGGGAGCCUUAAAUUUGGUGUAAACCUUUUUUUGUCAUCUUUUAGAUUUCCAGCUUCACCCUCUCGAUCACUUAAUCAUACCACCAUAUUGCUAAUCAGCUUAACCACAAAUUAACUUUCACCCCAAUUAUCUAAAUAUAUAUUGCCUACAUAACUACCUACAAACAUUGUAACCAACAAGUUAAUUAAAAUUCUAUUAAAGAACUAUUUUUUUGACAAAUAUUCAAAAAACUAGUAAAAGAACUAUAUUGUCUCCCUUAAUUUUGUUUGUCAGCACUUAAACUCCAUCUGUUUAAAUUGUAAGUAUUAUUAGUCAAAUAAGACAAUAAUAUUCUUCAUUUUUUCAGAUGUUUGUCCUCAAUUGUAAGAGAAGGUCGUAGGUCUAGCACAUACGUUGAAUAGCUGUAUCCGAUUAGAAGGAUUUAGAACUCUUCUACCAUCUCUUUUUUUUUUUCUUUUGUUUUUUCCUUCAAAAUUCUACAUCAUAAUGGAGUUGGUAAAAUAGUACUAUUUUCGUCUUUGAAGUUAAAAUUGUCAUCAAUUUAUGGAAAGUUUACUAUUACUCUGAUAAGAGAUGUUAAAAUUUACUUUUUACGAGCACUAAAGUUUUAAAGAUUAUGAAAAGAGAAUUGUAUGAAGGAAUAGAAGGGAAAAGAAAGGUAAGAAAAUGGAUGGAUUGUGUUUGGAUUGAUUUUGGGUGGGGAAAGGAGAGGAAACGGAAAGAAAAGGAAAUGGAUGGAUUGUGUUUUGCUCAGACAUCAUUUCCAUACAAAAAUAGACGGAAACAGAGGGAAAGAAAAUCUAGUUGAUGAUUUUCUUAUAAAAUGCCUCAAGCACCCAAAUUUUACAUAAACUUGAGUAACCAUGUGUUUCAUAUCUGUAGAACUUGCCAUUUGUGAAACCUGCUUUAGAUAUGAAUUGUGGGAUGCAACAGCAGGCUAGGAAUGUUUGACUAAGCAACUUAUGUAAAUAUUUUAUCGUUAAGUGAAGUUCCUCUUUUGCUGUUCAAAAAAAAAAAAAAAAAGAGAGAGAGAAAAACCAUUCCUUUAAUGUCUGUCAUUCUACCAAACAGCAGAUUUAGGUUUUCUUUCUUUCCCAUCCAUAUCUAAUCCAAAUAAGGCAAAUGAGAACUAUUUUCCACUACUCUCCUUUCCUUUCUUUUUCACUAGGAUGUUUUAUUUAUUUAUUUAUCCUUUCCUUUGAUCCAAAUGGUUCCUAAAAGGGCCCUAAAUAAUUAUUCUACAUUGAUCAGUUCCCUAUUUUUGUAUUAAUUUGCAUGUGCACGAUUCUGUGUAUGUUCAUGUUGUGCAUCAAAUCUUGUGAAUGACAAAGCUAGAGUGUAAAUUUAAGUUGAAGAAAUAUAAACCAAAAAAGAAAAUGGAUUGGGUCCUUUAAGAGUAUCAGACUUCUAAACCCCAAGGAUUACAUAAUUUUCAUAUCCUUUGCUAUACAAAGAAGUGGCAUAGCCUUAACAAUGAAGUGCUGGAAAAACUCCAGAAGGACUGUGCCAUCCAUGAAAUCACAAUUCCGCUUGCUAUACCAUGCAUUAAUGUGUAUGCCCUUGAUGAUUAAUAUAAUGAAAUCAUGGUUCUAGGCCUUGAAGGAAGGAAUAAGAGCGAAAGUGGAGCUAGCAACAAAAUUUGCAAUCAGUUAUCAGGAUGGGAAAGUUGAUGUACGUGGUGAUCCAGCCUAUGUGAGGGCUUGUUGUGAAGCGAGUUUGAAGCGGCUUGAUGUGGACUGCAUUGAUCUCUAUUAUCAACAUCGCAUCGAUACACGUGUGCCCAUUGAAGUCACGGUUUGCUCCAUCUUGCCAUCCACCUCAUUCUUGAUGAAACAAAAGUUUGAUCAACUCCAAAUUUCGAAUAAUUCAGUUUCAUGUGCGUUUCAAUUCUUCAAAAAUUGCACAGAAAAGUUAGUCAACCUUAUGGUCUAGGCUAAUCUGCAGUAUGCUAAAUCUUAUUUAGCACCAGGCACCCUGAAAAGUGAAAACAAUGAAAAUGUCUUAUAUUAGCUUGGCAGUCCUGCUGAGGGAUAUACAGGUGGAUAUCAUGCUAUACAUUGUACAGCUUUCCUUUAGAAGCAAGAGACCUGAGCAUUCUCUUUCAUUUGAGAUAGGCUAUCCAGUUGAGUAAUGAUAUGCUAUUUACUUACCUUGUCAUUCGUUUUCAGUCGGUGCCAAAAGCACUGCAGAUAGAAGUUUUUUAGUCGAUAUCUAAAAAACGUGGUACUCAUUUUGUUCAGAGUAUAGCUUUUUGUCUAAUUGUGAAAGCCAGCUGCGACUACCCCAUUGACCUCUCUAAGCAAUUCAAAGAUUGCAGCUGCUUGCUUACAUUCAGCUUUUAUGAAAACAAUUUCUGUCUUCUUUUUCUAAUAUAGUCAGCAAAGAAUUGUCUUGUUUUUCCUGAGUAUUAGGAAGAAACUUUCUUGCAGUUUAAUCACUUAAAAUACAGGCAAGUAUAAAGGAAAUCAAGGAAAUUGACAACUGAUAAUUGAUAUGUACAGCCAUUAUUAUAUCUAGACGAAGUCAACAAUGUCGUGUAAUCAUAUUGGAGGAGCAUUAUGUUGGCAUGGUCCGGUGGGCUGUACAUAGAGAAGUAUCACUGGAUGCUUAUUGCCAUUUUUGUCAAUUAUUGAUUUCAGUUUGACGUAUACUUUGUCCACGACUUCAUUGAACUAGUGCAACUUUUACUUUUUUGCACGUAAUAUUUCGAUUAUCUGCCUAAGUAUUGAAUGUAAUAAAUCAGCUUUGCAUUUUCUUGUCCAUUGAAAUUCUCUAGAUAGGAGAGCUCAAGAAACUGGUUGAAGAGGGUAAAAUAAAGUAUAUAGGUCUGUCUGAGUCCUCAGCUUCAACAAUUCGAAGAGCACAUGCUGUUCACCCAAUAACAGCUGUGCAGUUGGAGUGGUCAUUGUGGAGCAGAGAUGUCGAGGAGGAGAUUAUUCCCACUUGCAGGUAGUGCAUAUAUUCUGCUGCAUUUUCUACGUGGUCUAGAAGAAAUAUGAAGUUCUUAAUUCAGUUUUUGGUAUAAUCUUUCAGAGAGCUUGGAAUAGGGAUUGUUGCAUACAGUCCACUUGGAAGAGGAUUCUUCUCUUCAGGUCCAAAGCUGGUCGAGAAUUUUACUGAAGGUGACCGCCGAAAGGUUUGUGCAUAUCCAAAACUAUGGAGUUUUUGAGUAUAGAUUGUUUAUAGUUCGAAUAAGUUUCUCACUCAUCUAGUUUUACCACAUUCAGUGACAAUCUUGCUUGAUAUCCCUAUUCUUGUCUAUCUGUCAUAUGUUGCUGCACUUUUUGAUGUCCAAUAAUUUGAUUAAGCCUUAUAAUAUGAUCACAUUUAAUCAAAUUUCUAUUAAGCAGAGCAAAUCAACAGGCUUUUUUUUUUUUCCUGUCGAACAAGUCUUGAGGUCUUUAGUUGAUUGAAUGAAUUCAGAUUUUGGUGUCCUCUGUAUUUAGUUCAAAUUAAAAGAUAUGGCGCUAGCUUUGUCAGAUUUUAGAUCUUAUAUUAAUUGAAGGUUGUUAUUGCAUGCUGGACAACAAUCACAAGCAAUCGAUAGUAUCGAAUUUUAAAGUGCAAAGAUGUCCUAAGACGUCAAAACAGGAAGAAACUAUGUCACUUUUUAUGUAAAAGUCUCUUUUCAGUUUUGAGGGGAAGUGGACCUUGGACUUCAAUUUCAUCAUUUAGUCUCAGGCACAGAAUUUCAUCAUUUUGUCCUGUGAAACUAUCAUUUUUCCUUUACCAUUAAUCCUAAAACUGAGUUUCAUUGGUCAGAAGUGUACUUCUUAGUACAAACAAUAGUUGAUAUGCAUUUUAAGGUUCCCCUUUGAUGGGAAAUGUAUCUCAGAACUUAACUCCAACAGUUGAUGUUUCCUACUUGGAUUAUUCAGUCCACCUUGAUGCAUUGUUCUUUGCCCUGAACUUGUGUCCUUCAAACAAUAUUGCUGAUCAUCUCGAAGUAAUGUACCGUCUGUUCAUUUCUCCCUUCUGAUUUCUUGCAUUAUAGUUUGCUCUUUAAUGGGAAAUGUAUCUCAUGAUCUACCUUCUACAAUUAAUGUUUCUUAAGAGUACUCAGUCCAGCUUACUGGAUUGUUCUUUCCCCUGAACUUUGUACACCUCAAACAAUACUAUUGAUCAUCUUGAAGUUAUUCAUAUUGUCUUCAUUUGUAGACGACACAUGCUUCACUUCCUUUUGCAUUUCUGGCGUUACAGUAGCAUAAAAUUUUGAAAUUCAUACAAUGUAGGGUAUGCCAAGGUUUCAAGCAGAGAAUUUGGAGCACAACAAGAACUUGUACGAGCAGGUCAAUGCCAUUGCUUCAAGGAAGGGUUGUACCCCAUCACAGCUAGCUUUGGCCUGGGUCCAUCACCAAGGCAAAGAUGUUUGCCCCAUACCUGGCACUACCAAGAUUGAGAACCUCGAUCAGAAUAUAGGAGCUUUGUCUGUGAAACUGUCGGCAGAGGAAAUGGCGGAACUUGAAUCUAUUGCUUCGGCUAUCAAGGGUGAGAGAUACGAGUCUGACGCUGGGCUUGGUACUUGGAAAACUUCUGAAUUAACAAUUUGUAUACCUGAAUAAAUUUUUUUCCUCCAUCCUAUCAUGUUUUCUUGCCCUCCAUGGUUGACUGACCAAAUUAUUGUUGUAUGUAUACCCAUGCUCGUCAAACCUCAUUCGUGUACACUCGUAAGGAGUGGUUCUGAGCUUAUUGUGAAUGCUCAGUACCAAGAAGUAGAAGAGAUAAUGCAUAAGAGAGAAUUAACUUGGCUAAAGAAUUGGAAGCAAUUUAGGGAUUUUUUAAGAAAUUAAUUCUCCAACGCCACUUUUGGAAAUUUCUAUCAACAACUAGUUACCAAAACACUAGCACAUAGUAAGAAAUCCGGAUAAUUUCAUAAACCUACCUUUAGGUUUUUAAUAAUUUCAAGAAGCUCUCCUCAAUAUUUUAAAAUUACACAUACUUUCCCUAUUGGUGCAAAAGUACUCUACUACCCCUAAUAGGAUACUCAAAAGACUUUUUUAUGGGAAAAAAGAAGCUCAGAAAGCCAAGCAAAAACAAAAAUCAAUUGAUUUUCUCUUUUAGCCUUUUACGCUUUUGCCUUCUACCUUUACGCGCUUUCCCAUGCCAAUCUUCCUAUAACGACUUCCCUAGUCCCCUUUCCCCAACUUUUCUCCUCUACUUCAAGACCAAUUUUUGUCCAUCAAUCCUGGCUUGUGCUUUGUUACAUUCCCUUCCCUUCUCCUUUUUGAUUUCCCCUACAUCUCCUUUUCUCUUUGCAAAAGUGACUAGGCUCGUCUCUCUCUCUUUUUUCCCCUAUUCUAAGUGUAGUGGAUUUGAUUAUUUUGCAUCUAUUUUAUUUGAUUUUGCUUGAUUAUGGGUGAUAAAACUUGGUGAUAUCAACCAUCAUAAGUUUGAUAGAUGGAUAUUGGGCUUUAGGCAAUGAUUUGUUGAAAAAAAAUGGCUGCAAUGAGAGGAAGAGGCAAGGGGAUUUGAGUGUGGGGUUGAUUUUUGAUGAAUUGUUGUUUUGGACAAAAUUUGAGGUUGAGUUUUAUCAAAUUUCGGCUCCGAUUCUGAGGCCUACAGUAUUGACACGGCAAUAAUAUUAUUUCAUCAUGAAUGAUACCUAAACUUUAGUUAAUAGCAUAACGAUAACUUAGUUUUAGCAUAAAUGUUCCCCGAGUACCAAAAUUUGAUCCAUACCGUAGUCUGUGUAGUCCUUGAUAAUCUAGAUUUUCUUUUUACUCUGUCAAAUUUAUCGAUCCAACUUCGCAUCACUCUACUUUUCUUCCCACCACCUCGUUUUUUAAUGCCUCUUGCGACUACUGCCUCCCCCAUUUCAUUCACAAUUUCAAUUUUAUCCCGUUCCUCCAUAUUCAGAUUUUUUUGAUUUUGCAAAGGUUGUUCUUCACUUUCUGAGAGGAGGAGCUCAACUCUCUUUGCCAAAUCGGAUAUGACAGUGAUUGCUACUUUGCUGGUGUCCUCCGACAUUGCUGCUCGAGUUGCGACCUUAAUCAUGGCUGGAGCGAGCUCCCGAUAACGAGUUGAAAUCAUUAUUUUAGGAUCAGCCACAACUUCCCGUCUUCGCCGAUCAAAACAGUCUCCAGCCCGAGCUCUUUUUGUCCAUCGCCUCUUAAUGUAUUCAGGAGGAAUUAUUUUUAUGCCCACAGUAUCAAACACCUUCAACGCGUGCCCACAUAAAAUGCCUUCAUUCUCGUAUUUUUUGCAACUACAACGUACACUUAGAUCAUUCCGAUUGAAUACCACUAUUCUUUCAGGUCCUCCAUCAUACCUCAUGACCGCAAACUCCACAAUCAUCGCUGCAUCUUGCUGUCUCAAUAUAACCAUAGCUGUUGACUCGCCAUAUUCAUUUUGGAAUGCAACAAAUACGGUUGGUGAAUACGUCUCUGAUGCAUGCACGAGCAUAGGUGUUUGCCUUAACCCGACCAUGGGGAGCUUUUGCCUCAUUUCAUAUUCUGCGAUCAGUUCAUUAUGUCUCUUUUCAUCAACCACCCGAUUGAAAUGUCUAAAGAACUGCACAAGGUCAUGAUCCAGUUUCAAAUGAUUUUUAAUUGCUGCAUUUAGGCUUUCGCUGAGUUGGGUGCUUCGCAUUCCAGCGGUCCAUCUUUCUUUCAUCAUGCACCUUGCCCAUUUAUCACGAAUUCUAUACAAUCCGGAGAGCCAUUCAUUAUUUUCAAGAUCGUGUUUCUUCACCAUCGCCUCCCACACCCUAUUGAAUUGUUCCACUUCUUCAAACUCAUACAUGCAUGCACCAAACAUGUAUGGAAGAUCACUAUUUUCCUUGUAGUGAUUGCCAAGAUGUUUCAUAAAAUUACGCCUUAUGUGAAACGUACAUAGACCGUGAAAUGUUUCAGGCAUAACAACUGAAAGAGCGGCUGCCAUGGCAUGAUCUUGGUCGGUUAGUAUGGUACUUGGACGCUUUCCGCACAUUGCUUCUAGAAAUGUACCAAACACCCAUUUGAAAGAAUCUAUAGUCUCAUCAUACAUAAGGGCAGCACCGAAUAUCACAAUUUGCCUAUGUUGGUUAAAACCCACAAACACUCCAAGUGGCCGGUAUUCUUUAUUUGUUUUGUAGGUUGUAUCGAAUGUGACUACGUCUCCAAAAAAUUUGUAGUCAAUUAACAUUCCUGCAUCAGCCCAAAAGAUAUUCGUUAUCUGCUCUUCACAGUCCAACUGUACGGCAUGAAAAAAUGAUGGAUUCUCGAGUGUUUGCUCUUGAAAAUAAUUCAGCAUGCUACCUGCUUCUCCAUAUUUCAAACUCCUUUCCCGUCGAGUACGAAGAUAUCGUUUCAGGUCUUCCCGAGUAUAUCCCACAUUUCCCAUCCCACCUGCCUCCUUUCCCAUAAGUUCAUGACUCUGUUUCAAUGAAAGCCCAGCGUCCUCGCUUAUUUCAGCUUGGAAUCCUUGAGCCUCGCUCACUUUUCUUUGUGAUGGCAUCAUGUGCGCACAUUGAACAAUGUGCAACUCAUGGUUAUGCUCUAAGACAAUGUCAUGCACACGGUACUUCAUUGUUCCUCUAAACAACACGAUAACCAUUUUAGCUCCACACCCUGUUUUCGUCGGCGCUCGUGUCCUCUUUGGCAUCACAUCACCUUCGUACUUGCGCUUUACACCUUCCUUGCAGCAACUAUAUCUCCUAGACGUGGUCACGCCGUCUUUGUCUUUAUUCAGAUAGUCUUUACGUACACUAAAACCCAUUUUAAAGGCAUAUUUGUUGUAAAACUGGUACGCAUCCUCUUCGCUGUUGAACUCCAUUCCUAAUUCAGGGGUCCCAUCUUCUGCCAAUUUGCUGCAAUCCAUUACUUCUGAUCCUGUCAAUUAUGCAUCAAACACCCUAAUUUGUAACACUUCAUGAACAGUAUGUACAUAAACGACAACAUAUAUGUAUAUUACCAUUCAUAUUGUGUUAUGAAUCAUACAUUACUCAUAUACCAAAUUCUAUUAUUACGCUAUCAAUAUGAUUAAUGAUUCACAUCACCUUACUUUUACUCUAAGACAAUCUGUGUACAAAUACAACUCCAUGUACACUAACUUAUACGGAUUGUAAUGUAUUGGUCACACGAUGUAAGUCUAUUUUAACUGUAUGUACAUCCACGCUGGUGAUUAUAUUUUGAUUCUAAAUUCUUUAGCUCACUGGACCUUAUGUCAUUCGUUAAUGACAACCGCAUAAAAUAGACUAAAUAGUCUUUGUCUUUAUUUAAAUAGUCUUUGCGUACACUAAAUCCCAUUUUAAAGGCAUAUUUGUUGUAAAACUUGUACGCAUCCUCUUCCAUGUUGAACUCCAUUCCUAACUCAUGAGUCCCAUCUUCUGCCAAUUUCUCUACAAUUCAUUACUUCUGCUCCUACCAAUUAUGCAUCCAACACCAUAAUUUACAAUAGUUCAUGAAUAGUAUGUAUGUAAACGACAACAUAAGUGUGUAUUACCGUUUACAAUAUGUUAUGUUACACACAUUACUCGUAAACCAAAUUCUAUUAAUACUCCCAUUGAUAUGAUUAAUGAUUCACAUCACUUUACUUUUACUCUAGUACAAUGGCAUUAUCUAUGUACAAAUAUAACUCCAUGUAUACUAAGUUAUACGGACUGUAAUGUAUUUUUCACUCCAUGUAAGUCUAUUUUAACUAUAUGUACAUCCACUCUGGUGAUUAUAUUUAGGUUCUAGGUACUUUGUUUCAUUGGACGUUAUGUAAUUCGUUACUGACAAUCGCCUAAGCCAAUUCCUGUGCAUUUUCUACUAUUUCUACAUUUUCAGGGCCAAACAAGCAUUUUUUACUCAUUCUAAUACAUUUCUUACAUCAUGUAAUUUACUUACAAAACUAGGUACAUCUAUUUAUUAUUCACAUAUAUCUUUUCCUCUGCUUUUCCUAGGUCAAACCCCAGACCUCCAUUUUAUACACACUGCAUACUCAACAGAUGGGCAAACUAAGAUUGCGUGAUGACCAUGGACCAAUACUAGUGGAUGCACAAAGAUUGUAAUAGGGUGGUUAUAACCUGUAACUUAUCUACAACAGCAUGUACAUUCAUUCACUUGUUAAAUAGUUCAUCACUGCAAAACUGCACGCUCACACACACACAUACAGUACACAUUGACUAUUGUUCUAUUAUCUUCAUAUUAUGUCUUUACUGAAUCUAACAUUCAGAAAAGUUGCUGGUAUAAGAUUCACAAAGUUGUUGAUAUGGUUGAAUCACGUUACCUUGGCCCGUUGAGAGCUUUUUGUUUCACCGAAUGCCCUUAUGCACAGUUGCUUCUGCUAUUAAGUUGCACAAAAAAUGGUGGGCAACGUCAGAUAAUGAAUUUCCUCUUUAAUUCGCUUCUACCUUGCCGACUGUCUUGCCCGCAUUGCUCAUACAAUUUCUGAAGAGAUCGUUGGCCUUCUUUUACAGCAUUCUAACUGUUUGCCUUCUUCCUUCUUCUUCUGAUGCCAUAACCCAACUCUCUCCACCUAAUUUCACGUCAGCCAAGCAACAAUGACAUACCCAGCUUGCUUUCUUCUCUCGAUUUUGUUUUGUGCGGCUAAUUCAAAUUUUCAACUUCAUUUUCAAAAUUUCAAAUCUUCCGUUUAGAGGAAACGGAGUCCGUCAAUCUUAUUUUUUUUCUUUCGUCAAACGGUGACGUUUUUUUCCUUCAACACAACCAGUUGACGUGGCUUAUUUUGCUCCAUUCCUUUCUUUCUGUGAGGGGACCGUUCAGGAGCGGUCCUCAGAAGGACCGCUCCUGCCCCGUAUCCGUAUUUUUGAGUUGAAAAUUUCGAACCUUGUAAUUUUUUUUUCAACCUUAAAAUUAGAGCAAAUUGUCCGGAUUGCCUCUAAACUCUUGAAAUCAUUGAGUUUUGAUCACGGAACUAUUAAAAAUUUGGUUUUGGCCAAUAAACUAUUUAAAUUUUAGAUUUCGGAUCAUUCUAUUAGAUUCAAUAGUAAAUUAUGCCAAAUCUGAGUACCUAUGCGAUUUACGAGACAAAAGAAAUGGAUAGUUUAGGAAGUUCAGAAGAGUGUUUGUACCACUUCUUUCUUCUCGUAUGUAUCAAUUUCUUCGUCUUUUCUAAAGCAAAACACUUUCUUCGUAAACCCAAACAUCAAACGUCUGACAAAUCAAGAAAAAUGAAACAACAAAAUGAAUGGAGGGAUUGAGCAUCAGCAAAAGCUUGUAAUGAACAGGAUUUUGAAUGGAAGGAUUUUUGCAAAUUUCAGCUUCAAGUGACUUCAUUUUGGCCUCCAAUUUUGUAACUUUUGCCUUCCACUUUCUUGUAGAUUUUUCUAAUUCAGCCAUCCAUUCAGUUUAUCCUUCUUAAAAGACUCGGUAUAAUCAGAACAGAUUGAGCGCACAUCUCAUCAUCUAGCCAACCCCAAUGUCCACAUCCAUCCUUCAAAAACAAACAAUUUCAUUAUGUUCCUUACAUAAUAACAAUUUAAAUAUCUAGGAAGAUGGUACAAACCUCCCCUAAUGUGCAUUUGGCAAACCUUCUUCCCGAAUUUUUGUGCAGUCCAUGAUGUUAUUAUUGUUGUCUUUAUAAUACAAACACAAGUAAGUAGAUGAGACAUGGAUGUAGGCAGCAUGGAUCUUGUUGGCACUGCUCUUGGUGGUGUUAAUCUUGUUCGUACUUCCUUCAACCCAAACUGGGUUUCUUCUAUUCCUUCUCCUUCUUUCUAGCAGCAAAUUUUGGAUUUCUUCCACCAAGAUGGCGUUAAAUCUUACUACCUUUUGGGUUUAAAGAAUAAGAAAAAGAAGAUGCAUAUGAACUUCCUAAAUUGCCCCUUUAUUUUAUCUCAUGAAUCGUGUGCAGGCACUCAAAUCUAGCAUAGUUAACAAUUAAAUAUGACAGAAUAGCUCGAAAUCUAAACUUUAAAUAGUUCAAUAGCCAAAAUCAAAUUUUUAAUAGUUUAGUAGCCAAGGUCAACGAUUUCAAAAGUUUAGUGGCUAUUCGAAUACUCAUAUGAAUCAAUAUAUGAUACUCAUAUGAACUUGUUUUCAAAUGAAAAUUAUGAUUUAUGAACUGUUAAUUCUUACGAUUACUUCCUCCAUCUGUCCAUUAAAAGUGUCAUACUUUUUAUUUUGAAAUAUUCCAAACCACUUUUAGUCUUUCUUUCCAAUAUUGUCACUCAUUUUAAUCAUGUGCAUAUUACUAUUCAAAUUCAAAUUUUAAAUUUGUGAAGGUAAGAUUGGAAAGAGAAAUACAAACAUUAUAAUCAAACUACUAUUUUUAAAAAGUUUAGAUUCCUAAAACAUAACAAAAUAAUUAGGAUUAAGGAGUAUUAUUUUUUAGUUUUUAUAUUUGAAAUUCACAAUUAAUGACAGUUUAAAACGGAUAUAAAUCAUUUCAUUUGGUCUUAUUGGGAUAAUUUUAGAAAUUUCUCUCAUGAUUUUUUAUAGUUUCACUGUCCUCCCAUGAGGUUACAAAAGUAUUACUAAUUUCCCUUAAAACCAAUUUUCUUGUAACAAUUCAGCCCAAUUAAAAAAAAAGUAACAAUAAAAAAAUAAUUUUGGGUGUGAGAAGAUUUAUAUAUGCCAAAAGUGCCCCUGAACUCUUAUACUAGUUAAAUUAAAUAUUUGAUCUAACUUGUUAAUUUACUUAUAAAGCCAUUACUACAUAUGGUCAACAAAAAAUUUCCAUCAUACAUAACAAAAAUUAACAACUUUCAAAAUGUAACAAAAUAAUUUUUUUCCAUACCUUAAGAUUCUUGCUAUCACCACAAUUAUAAGAAAAAAUAACACAAUUGAAAUCUCUUUAUAUUUGAUUCCUUUUAUUUAUCAAGUACAUAAACUGAAAAAGGGAUGCAUGGUAUUGGAUCCCUUUUUAGAUGCCAAAUUAGAUUUUUUUUAGUUUCCAAUUAUGAUUAGUUUAGUUUGUAAACGCUUAAUUAUUUCUCAUAUCUAAAUCCUUUAAUUAAUCAACUACAUUAGGUCUAAUUUCUUUUAUUUGUCAAGUAUAUAAAAAUUAAAAAAGAUCCACUUGAUAUUGGCUUUAUUUUUAGAUGGGAAAUUAAUUAACUUUUUACAAUUCAAAUUCUAGUUAAUAUAGUUAGCAAAUGUGUAACUCUUUUCCUUUGCAUAUGUGUUUAAUUAUCCUAAUAAGGGUUACAAAGUCAUUUAGCCAUUAGUGGUGUAAGCAUUGGGUCCAAAAUGACUAACAAGGGAGGUAAGUAAAAUUUUUAAAACCUCAGGAGAGGACAAUGAAAUUGUUAGAAACCUCCGGUCUUAUUUAUAUAAAUUUGUCAAUUGAAAAGUUUUAGGGUUAAUUACUAUUUGCACCCCUCGACAAUUUGUUUAUCAAACAUUAUACCCCAAACUUUCAAUUUUAGCAAUCUAGUACUUUCAACUUUUAAUUUUUAGCAUGAUUAAUAAAUCAAGCUAAACCUAAUCAUGAUAAGGAUGAUUGUACUACUUUACCCGUGAUUUCCUACAAAACAUCCAAAAAAUGUCCAUUUCAUUUUCAUCUUAAUGAAGUCAAAUAAAUCCCUAGGAGAACCUUUUAACACCCAAAAAAUAAGAAAUCAAAGCACAACCCAUGUCCAUAUUUCACUACUAUCAGCUCGUGAACUACCACCAUAACCUCUUCACGUACCACCGUAAUCUCUUCACCAAUUUCUUACCGCUACCUUCAUCUUAUCGUAUCAAAUAGAUAAAAAAAAAAAAAAAAAACUGGACAAGGAAAAAAUAACUUUCUUGUCAAACCAAACAAAUUAACACCAAAAAAAGUCAAAGAAAAAAAGUAAAAAAAUUUCUAUAUCCAAAUCUCAUCAUCGUAAACAUUUGCAUCACCAUCACCAUUACCAUCAAUGCCACCAUAACCUCUCAACUUUACCACUAUGAUAACCUCUUAUAACUUGCACGAUGAAUUAAUCCCAAAAAAUCAUUAGACCAAAAGGAAAACCAACAGCAAAAUAUCUCAUAUCCAAAUCUUGCCAUAACAGGCACACCUCCACCAACACUAUUACCAUAACCUCUUGAAUCUAGCAGUAUGGUCAUCUUCUUUUGAUCAAAUGCCAAACUUUUUUUUUUAACCUUUUUGACCAACACCCUUUUUUCAAUUCCAAUCCUUCAACAGCAGAUGAUUUUAACUCCUUUAAGCUCCACCUUUUUGCUCGAAAAAAAUGCAUGCCACCCUUGUUCUGCUCCCUGUCGGUAAGAUGGACAGCAUUAAGCCCUUCCCUAGGACAAGAGACUGGAAGCGUAAAGGUGUGGAGAUGGAAGAGGUAGCAGUGUUGCUGCUUCUUCUCUGGAAUUGGGACGAACGAGUAGGGGGCAGCAGGUGGAGGUUUUGGGUAUGUCUUUUGAGAUAAUUCUUAGGAUGGUUUUUGUGGGACUCUGGUGAUUGAAUUCGGAAGGUAGAUUAUUUUUUUUCAUUUGAAAUCAUUUAUUUAUUAGCUAAUUACUUGUGCAAAAUUUCUGUAACUGUUAGUAUAUGCAUAGAAAAGGGUAAUUUUGGAACAAAGGAUGAUAAUGGUCUUUUUAAUUGCCAAAUUUUAGUGGAUUGCAAAAAAUUAAAAGUUGAAAGUAGUUGAUUGCUAAAAUUAAAAAUUUAAGGCAUCAAGUUCAAUUGCUGAAUAGUUUAGGGUGCAAACGGCAAUUAACCCAAAUUUUUAUUUGUAAAUUUUUCAAAAUUUUAAACUUAUGAUUUAAAACUCACCAUCAGAGAUGGCCAAUAACAGCGGGCCUACUGGCUUGUCCUUGUGGGGUUGCCAUCCCACAUCGAUUUUUGGGGGGUUUGGGGUUGGAAGGAUCUCAAAAGUUGCCGGUUUUUGAGGUUUCUUUUGGGAUUAGAUUUAUAUAUCUAACUUUCGUAAAAAUAAAAAAAAAAAAAAAGAGAUGGCCAAAUCUGAGUUGUAAAUUAUCUUAUAUUUGGUUCCAGUUCCAUCCACCUAAACUCGUGCAGACUGUUGCGGGGAAGGUCGGCCGGGGAUUAGUAGUACAUUUAAUGAUGAUAGCGACACUUCAACAAUUUUUGAUGAUACAAAUAGGCUGGAUUUUUUUUCUUUUGUGUCUUAAGUUUGGUUUUCUGAGUUUUUCGGUAGGGAGAAUUCCUUAUCAUCUCAUUUUGGAUUGCAAGUUUUUGAAGUUUUUAAAAAAUAUAUUAUAAUGAUGUGAUAUAUAUAAGGUAAAAAGAUAAUUAAAAAAAUAUACCGAGUGAAUAUUUCAAAAUUUUUCUGAAAAAAAUAACAAUCCAAACGCUUUUCAAUUUUUUCAUAUAACAGAGGCUGCGUUUGGAUGGAGUGUUUUUGCACCUGUUUUUGAAAAACUGUUUUUCACAUUCCAAAUAAUGUUUUGAUACAGUAAUGUGUAUUUCAAAAACAACUUCAAAAACACCAUAUCCAAACAAUAUAUCAAAAACAACUCCAAAUAUAAUUCAAUUAUGUAUAUUUAAUUUGUAUAUUUUAAUAAGUAUAUUUCAAUUUGUAUAUUUUAAUUAUGUAUUUUAAUAUGUAUAUUUCAAUUAUAUUUUAAUAUAUUUUAAUAUGUAUAUUUCAAUUAUGUAUUUUAAUAUGUAUAUUUCAAUUAUGUAUAUUAUAUAUAUUAUAUUAAUAUAAAUAUAUUUAUUUCAAUUAUGUAUAAUAUUAUAUAUAAUAUAUCAAUUGAAAUAAAUAUUAUAUAUUUAUAUAAAUACAUUUAUUUAUAUAUAAAUUUAUAAAUAUAUUUAUUCAAUUUUGUUUUAUAAUAUAUACUAAUAUAUAUUAAUAUGUAUAUUUCAAUUAUGUAUAUUAUACAUAAAUUAUAUUAAUAAUAAUGUAUAUUAUAUAUAUUAUACAUUUAUAAUAUUAUAUAUUUAUACAUACAUAUUAUAAAUAUUUUAUUUUAUUUAUAAUAUAUUUUUAUAUAUUUAUAAUAUAUUUACAUAAAUAUUAUAUGUUAUAUAAAUUAUAUAUAAUAUAAUAUAUAAUAUAUUAUACAUUUAUACAUAAUAUAUAAAUAUUUAUGUAUAUUUAUAAUAUACAUUUAUAUUAUGUAUAAUAUAUAAUAUAAUACAUUUAUAUAUUUAUAUUAAUAUUAAUAUACAUUUAUAUUAUGUAUAAUAUAUAAUAUAAUACAUUUAUAUAUUUAUAUUAAUAUACAUAAUAUUAAUUUUACAUUUAUACAUAAUAUUAAUACAUGUAUAUAUUUAUAUUAAUUAUAUUAAUACAUUUCUACAUAAUAUUAAUAUAUAUUUAUAAUUUAUUAAUUUAUACAUUUAUAUAAUAUUCAUUUAUAAUUUAUUAAUUUAUACAUUUAUAUAAUAUUCAUUUAUAAUUUAUACAUUUUUAAUAAUAUACACUUAUACAUUUAAAUAUACAUUUAUAUUAUGUAUUAUAUAUAAUAUAAUACAUUUAUACAUUUAUAUUAAUAUACAUAAUAUUAAUUUUACAUUUAUACAUAAUAAAAAAUACAUAUAUACAUUUAUAUUAAUUAUAUAAAUACAUUUCUACAUAAUAUUAAUAUAUAUUUAUAAUAUACUAAUUUAUACAUUUAUAAUAUACACUUAUAAUUUAUAAUAUAUUUAUAAUAUACUAAUUUAUACAUUUAUAAUAAUAUACACUUAUAAUUUAUAAUAUUCAUUUAUAAUUUAUACAUUUAUAAUAAUAUACACUUAUACAUUUAUAAAUAUAUUUAUAUUAUGUAUUAUAUAUAAUAUAAUAAAUUUAUACAUUUAUAUUAAUAUACAUAAUAUUAAUUUUACAUUUAUACAUAAUAUCAAUACAUAUAUACAUUUAUAUUAAUUAUAUAAAUACAUUUCUACAUAAUAUUAAUAUAUAUUUAUAAUAUACUAAUUUAUACAUUUAUAAUAUACACUAUAUUUAUAAUAUCUAAUUUAUACAUUUAUAAUAAUAUACACUUAUAAUUAUAAUAUAUUUAUAAUAUUCAUUUAUAAUUUAUACAUUUAUAAUAAUAUACACUUAUACAUUUAUAAAUAUAUUUAUUAUGUAUUAUAUAUAAUAUAAUACAUUUAUAUAUUUUUAUAUGAAUAUAUAAAUAUAUUUAUUUAUAAAUAUCUAUAAAUGUAUUAUAAAUGCAUAAAUGUAUAUUUAUAUAAAAAUAUAAAAAUUAUAAUAUUCUAAAAAUACUCAAAAUAUGUUUCAAAAAUACCUCUAAAAAUAAUCCAAAAAAAUCUACAGUAAAAGUUUUUCAUUGAGUUUUUGAAAAACAACCCAAAAAAUAACUAAUCCAAACGGACUUGUUUUUCAGAUUCAAAAUGCUACAGUGGUGUUUUUGAAAAACAAACCCAAAAACAGCUAAUCCAAACGGAGCAAGAGAUUUUGUUAAUAGUCUGCAGGCUUUUUGUUCAAGUAUAAUAUAGUCCUUGCAAUAAUAUGUUGGCCAAUUUAGUCAUCUGGCCAAAGUUUCAUGACAAAAUAUAUUUCGUUUUUCCAAACACGAACGGAAGAACAGUUUUAGAAAGCAUCAUCAUAUUCCAUAUUUUCAGCAAUUUUGUUAAACCCAUAUGUUUACACAUGCAUAUAUUGAUGUGUACAUCAGGAGUAAAUAUGUGCACAUAUACAAAUUGAAAUGUAAACCAGGCCAACGAAAAGUAUACAUAUUUUUCAAUAUUAAGGUGUACAUCUAGUUUUUCCACUAUUAUAAGUUGCACAAAUACUCAAUGUGGUGUGAACGCGUACACAUAACUAAUCGAGAUACAAUAGAGGGAGUCCCACGCUUCGCGUGGGAAUUGAUGCCUAUGGUGUGAUUAAAUAACUUGGCUGUGUUGGAUAAUUUGAUAUGAAGUGGAACACAUUUACAUGUUACUUAAUUUUUGUUAUCAUAAUCAGCAAUAACUAGAGGUUGUUGGCAUGGUCCCUUACUUUUCUUUUCAAUGUCUAAUACAAAUGGAAGCUCAUGUUGUUAUCAUAUGUAUCAUUUUCCCCUACAUUUAAUCUUUCAAAUAGAGUGGGGUUGUUCAAUUAGGAACACUCACCGUUGUUCUGUUCAGUAUUUUCAACCGAACGAACAUGCAUUCUCUACGCUUUAUACUUAUUUCCGUUAUUUCUGUCAUGUUUUUAUCUUUUUCUUUUGUUGAUAACAAUGUAUAUCAUUUUUUUGCCUAUUGAUUUCGAAGUUACUUCUUAACAUUAAGAUUAUCGAUAUUGUUUGUUUGAUCCUUCUUACAUUUCAACCCAUAGGCCCUAAAUCUAAACAUAGAAAAUUUAGAUAUACCAUUUGUUUGCUUAACUACUACACCUAAAAGCCAUUAUUUUGAUCAAUACAUGCAUCUACAAAUAAUUAGAGAGGAAAUUAAUAUUCCUCAUUACAACACUAACUUGCAUUAAACAAUUAUCAGGCCUACAAAAUUCAAUACAAAAAUAACAGAGCAUGUAAAUAUAGCACUUAUCUAUUCAAAUAGCAAUUUCUGUCCACACACAACAUCUCAGUCACGUAACUAUUGAACAAAAAAAUUGCAUAAUUGCAAUAUAAUUUUCAAAGUGGUACAAUCAUUCACACACUUGUUCAUUCAAGCACACUAUUCAAGUGGAUCAAGUACAAUUGUAAUCAUAUUUAAUCAACAAAUGACAUGCAUCAAGUGAAAAUAUAGAGUUACCCUAUACCUUUAACAAGAAAGUGCAAUCUAAGAGUAAAAUCUAUCCAUACUUCACCGCGUGCAAUAGCAAGCACAUAGGCUUAUUCACGAUUUUGAUUGUCUAAUGGAAGCUACACAGCCCAUAGACCAGAAAGCAAUAGCAAAAUUGAGCUUACCUCUGCAAACCCAACUCUGAUACUAUGCAACAAAACCAUCUGAAUCCAUAAUGUUGUAUCUUAACAAAAGCCUUUAUUAUAACCUACUUUACAAACUGAUGAGUAAAUGUUGAAGAAGAUGGGUGGUCCUACAGUGACUCUUGUAACAGUCAUUGCAAAUGAUUAUUCACCUCUCACUCUUUAAUGACCUCAUCAACCUGUUGCAAUUACUUAUUCAAAUAAGUGCCAUUUGUUGCAAGAGCUGAAUUAAUGGUUCUUGAGCUUUAAGGAUGAAGAAGACAGAACUUCUGCAGUUACAAUUCAAGCAUUCAUCUUUAGCUUUAGUGCACUAAUAUUGACUUAAAUGCAUUUCAUUUGCGUAAUCAAUUCAGCUGAACAUACUUGAGGGGAGUUCAUUUUGCUUUUCUACCCACUUUGCUAAAUCAAUGACAAAGUAGCCAAAUUAUUAGCCCCCAAAGGGCACAAUAGGUAAACCAUGCAAAUUUAGGAAGCAAAAACUUGUGCAUUUUGUUUAAUCAAUGCUAUUACAAUUUUACUAUUUCCAAACUGCCCCUCCAAAUAUCAGAUGAAAAUCACCCAAGAAUCAUACAACUCCUAUAUAUAUAUAUAUAUAUAUAGGAUUUAGAUGUGUGUAAGGUUAAAUAAUACAAAAUUUUAAUUUUUUUUUUCAGUAGAGAAAGGGUGAGAUUUAAGAAGUAAAAAGGUAUAGAGGGAAUACAAAAUUCCUAUUUUCAUCAUACUACACAUAAUUAUUUCUUAAUUAUUUUUUUGUAUGUGUAUCCUGUAAAUAGGGGUGUAAACGAUCAUAAUCAAGUUGAACACCUCCUUGUUCAAUUAUGUUUGAUUAUUUUAAUGAGUAUGAAAUUUCAUUCAAGUUUGACUUAUUUAUCUGUCAAACCAAGUUUCAAUAAACCAUUUAUUGAACUUGAAUGUUAUUAAGACAUUGGUUAAGUUUGAUUUGAUUAGUUAGCGAACCAAACUUGAACUAAUCCUUAUCAAACCGAACGUGGUUCAUUUUUCAACUCUAUGUAUGUAAAUCCGUUUGUGUAAAAAAACUUCACAUUAUUAGUAUAGGAAAAGUUAAUUAUUUGUACAAGGAGUAUACCAUAUGCGAACUGUCGUGUAUUUAUUAUUUAGCUUUAUACACUUCUAUUAAUUAAUGAAAGAUAUAGAACUUACCGAAAUGAAAAAUCUCAUGGGAGGUAACUGCAAUUAACCGUAAUCUAAACCCCAAAAGACAAAUUAAAGUCCCUCCAAUUCCCGCACAGCCACUCUUCUGCCAGACUGCCACCCCAAAUUCCAAACAUCACAACCCAUCUUUCCUUCGCUUCCCGAUUUUCGCCGGCCACCGCCGUCGGACAACGUUUCCAGCAACUCGGAGCUCAAGUAGACUGGCCCUUUAUUUCUGGGUAACCUCUCUUUCAUCAUUCGAAGAAAAUUUUCGUUUCUUUAAUAUAUUUGGUAAAUGGUUUUAUGGACUAUAACAAUUAUUUGUCUGUCCCUUUUUUUUCCCUCUUUGGAAUUCUUUUGUUUUGAUAAUGGGAUGUGAUUUUGGGAUUUAAUUACAAGGUUUAAUUGGGAUUUCAUCUUCCAUUUCGGUAUCUAAUUUUCAAAGUAACUAGGGCUCUUUUUUGAAAUUAGGGUUUAGGGUUUAAUGGAUCCGCCUUCAAUUUUAGGCUUAAAAAUUGAUUUUUCAUGCACCCUUUUGGUUGGAAUUGUUUUCGAGUGAAGAACUUUCAAAUUUUUUGACUUAGCUUACUGAAUAGUUUAUUAACAAAGGUUACAGGUAACAUUUUUUGCUCUUUCAGUUGAGAAAUUUGAUGCAAUGUCAUUGGCUUUGUAAUUUAAAUAUAUGUGGCUUUCAUACAACUGGAAGUUUCUUUUUUUGUGUUUCAAUUUUAGUUUGUUUUUGGCGAUUAGGUAAUUUUUCUGUGGCUUGAUUUAGUCUUGCUUCAGGUGGUUGAGAGCUGAUGGAUCGGCAAGGGCAUGACUAUGCAGCUGCUAUGGCAUAUGCCCAACAGCAGCAAGCUACUAACAUCCCGCAGCAGCAGCAGCAGCCGUUUGGUUUUCAUCCACAGCACCAACAGUUUCCUCCACCUGCUCAUGGCCCUCCUUUUAUUCCUCCACAUCCUUCUCUCCAACAGUUCCCUUACCCUCGUCCUAUGCAGCAACCGCAAUAUCCACACCCUCCUCCCCAUCCUCACCUACUUCACAUGCAGCAGCAACAACGUCCACCUGCUUUUCCACCACAUAUGCCCCCUCACGCUAUUGCCCCACCCUUCCAUGGCCCUUAUGAUUCUGCACCACCCCCUUCUCCUCCUCCUUCUGAUCCAGAACUCCAGAAGCGUAUUGACAAGCUGGUUGAGUAUUCUGCCAAGAAUGGCCCAGAGUUUGAAGCUAUGAUCCGUGAAAAACAGCAAGAGAAUCCUGAAUACGGUUUUCUAUUUGGUGGUGAAGGCCAUAAUUACUACCGAUAUAAACUUUGGAUGGCUACGCGGCCUCCAGGAGGCCCCCUCAAUCCUUCCUUCCCCCCCUCUUCUAUGCCUAUGAUGCAUCCUCCAAAUCCCAUGAUGAGCCCAUCACCUUUAAAUGCUCCACCAAUGAGUGGCCCAAAUACUGCUGUGGGUUCUGCUGCAAUGAUGGGAGCUCCUUACUUGCACCAGCCUCCUUUUCCACCAUUCUAUGAACAGCAACACCCUCAGCAUUCUCCAUCUUUCCUUGGUCAAACACGACCAGAUUAUGAUCAGUCUUACAGGUCUUUUAGGGGUUUGUCUAGACCACUUCCUGCUGAUGUUGAAAUGGAGCUCAAUAAUGUUCUCAACAAUCUGAACGGCACCAAAGAGUCUAUCAAAGGUGCUAAGAAUUGGUUCAUCCAGAGGUCUCCAUUUAUACCUGCUCUGGCAGAGGCGCUUAGAGAUAGAAUGUUUUCCUUGGAUGAUUCUGAGAGGCAACUGCACAUAAUUUUUCUUGCUAAUGACAUCCUAUUCGAAAGGUAUACUUUUUUUUUUUGGGUUUUUUGGUGCUUUUUUCUGUUCCUAGAAUGUGAAUUUGAGUGCAAAAUGGUUUUGUUGAUGUGCAUAGUUUUGAAAUGAUCUUGCAGCUUUCUGCAUUGAGGUUCUUUUAUACCUUAUAUGAUUGCUAAUUGAUCCUGAUUAUUUGAUUAGUGUAUACCUUCUUUGGUCAGAAAUUCCUUUGCUGGUAACUGGGAUAUUUUAAUUUUAUGCAUUUUAUUAUUUACAUAUAGUUCAGAUUGAUGAAGAUGUUGAUAUCAGAAACAAUUGCAUAAAACGAGGGCUGUUUGGGGUGCCAAAGUUUUGGUUUCUUAAUUUUGAGUGUUUUUGUUACUGUAUAGUAUUCCUUUAGGACUUCUAUUGUGGUCUUUUCAUUGUUGGUAACUUUCCUUCAAGCAUGCUUCUUUACCAUUUGCUGUAGAUAUUUCUAAUGAUUUAAAGGUAUUCCAGUCCAUGAUGCUGAAACUACUUUAUUGAAGUUAGUCUGUUACAGCUGUGAGCUAACUGGAGAUAAAAACUAUUCUUAGACUGUGAAUACAUAUGCACGUGUUUCACUCAAGAACAUGUCUGUUUUGGUCCAGGCUGAUGCCUAAAAGGCAAAAGCUAUUUAAAUUAACAAUCAGAAAUCUUGGUUUUAAAAAUUGAAUAGGGGUCUGAUGUAGCAUACACGCUAGCAUUUGGAAUAAGAAUUUAAGAAGGGAUUUUUUUUAUUAAUCAUCAAAACAGGGAAAACAGUACAAAUUUGGCAGGAAGACUAUAGAAUUAUAAUCACAGUUCCAAUCCAGUCAGAAUCCUUAUUUUCAUAGUAAUAAAGAACAGGGACUUUAAAUUACACUACAAUCUUUAGUGUUAAAAUUCAAAAAUUACUAAACUACACUACUGUUACGGUGAAUGAGAUAAGUGCAUAGAAGUAGUGUUGUGUUCUUCCUGCAUCAGUGUGACAUUUCUUGGGGAAUGUUCUCCUUGAAACCCUUGUUAAUAUUAGUAAUAGAGCUUUUUAGUAGUUUUGUUUCUGUAGAUCAUUUGCAUUUACAUUUUAUGAACAAAAUUUCUUUUAUCACUACUUCUUUCUUUGGGGUACUAUUCUCCAUGUCACUAGCAAAUCUUUACUCAGUAUUGUUUUCACCCUUCAAUUUUUGUUGCAAAGAUUUAGAUGACAGGGAAAAAAAAAACCUUCUUUGUUGUAGUCCAAGAAAUAAUUUUAGGUGGAGAUGCUCAUGGUGGAUUUGUUCAUGUUGGUUGGAAAACGGUGUGUGUGUAGUUGCGCCUUCUUUGUCUCUAUCUAGCACUAUUAUUGCAUUUUCUGUUUCUUCCUUAUUUGUUGUCUCUUAUGCAUGGUAAACUGCUAGUAUUGAAGUAGUAUGGUUAGAAAUGUAUACUCUCUCUAUUAUUUUUUAAUAUUAAUAUUAUGUCUGGUGACUAAUAUUAGAAAUUUAGUCAAGUACUUCUUCUGGAGAAGAAUCUGAAUGCCUUCUUACUUGCUGAGCAAGCUACUGAGGGUGGCUCAUUUAAUUUUUAUUUUGACUCGUUUUGUAUUUCUUUCUUGAGGAAUCUUUAUCUGCUUUAAUAUCUCAUUAAGUAUGAAUUUUUUUAAAAAUAAUUCCCUUGUGUCUCUAAUUUUAAGGAUCCAAGGCUUUAUACUAUAUCAUCCCCGCUUGGGAUCCUCUGUCUAAUAUAAUUGUCCAACUUCCCCCGUACAAUACAAAAUGACGGCGUUUCAAUCUAGAAAAUGAUGAUGUGGCUUUCCUUCUCUUCCCUGUCUUUUGGCUUCCCCUUUUUUCCAUAUUUCAAGUUUGACUUUCGUGACCAAAAAAGAACUUAUCAUUCUUUCUGAAAAAAAAUGCAAAUCUGAAGCUUCAAAGAGUCUUGCAAACAUAGAGUCCAUAAUUUGAUGGCAAAUCAUGAGUACUCUUAACAGACAUUGUAUCAAAUAGUUGGUGGGCAACUUUUACAUGGCUUGAAGAAAGUCAGAGACCAAAACGCCCAACUACCUAUUUUUGCACCAAAAUCAUCCCAUCUGUAAGAUUCUUGAUUUAAAUUUACAGUAUGAUUGAAGCUAAAACAGUGCACCAUACCAGAAAAGUUUAGUGGAGAAAAGCAAGCCAGAAUUUUGAUAUAUGUAUACCCCUUAAGAAGCGUUUAGUUGAUCAAUUUUUUGUUUCAAAGUGGGAUUCCCCUGCUACUCCAGAUUUGCGUUUUCCGUAACAUUUGGAGUAAAGAAUUGGAAGAAUUUUUUCAAUUUCUCCAUCGGCAUAAGGCCCUGUAAAAUUUGCAUGACCCAAAAAGAGUUCUACCAGAAGGGGGGAGACGUUGGGAAGGGUGGCAAUCAGUGUAAUCAAUAUUUUAACUGCAAUGUCGUCGUUUUGUAUGGGACAUGGAAAUUGGACAGAUUUUAGACAGAGGAUCCUGAGCUGAAGAACUGGUUUCUGUGCGGUUGUUUGAAAUUGUUUGGUGUAAUUGCUUGUUUCUUGUUGCUAAAGUCUCUUACCAAAAUUAGUAGUGUAAUUUUGUUUUCGUACUGAAGUAUAUGAUCAAUAUCUAAAAGCUUGUUCUGGGAAGUGACAGGCGCUUCAUUCCUGCAAUGUAAUGAGAGAAGUUUAUAUAUCAAGUCAAUAUGUCUUUCUUUGUUUUUUCCCCAGUGGGGCACAUAUUUAUGUGUUUGAUCAACUCAAAUGUGCAGCUUCCAGAUGCGGCAAAGUCCUCACGAACUUGAUAAUGAGGCACUAGCGUUUAGGCCUUUCUUGGGCUCCAUGCUCGCAAGGAUUUACCACAAUCCUCAGAACAAGGAAGAAAAUCAGGAACGCCUUCAAAAAAUAUUGCAGUUUUGGGCAUCCAAGGAAGUUUAUGAUCAGGAUACAAUUCGUGGACUUGAAAAUGAAAUGAUUCGUGUCCUGCCAAUGAAUUCUUUUCCAGGUCCUAGGGAUUUGCGCACUGUUUCACCGGAUCCAUCUACUGCAACGGGUAUCCUUCCGAAUUCACUCUUCUAGCUGUCAUGUGUAGUUGAUUGUUGAGGAGAAUGACUGUUAAAUGAUGUAGAAAAUUGGGUCUUUUCUUCAGCAUGCCAAAACUGAAAUUCAUCAUUGAGGUUUAUGGAUUCUAGCUGGUUAUCCAUUUUUGCAGGUGUACCACACUAUCCGGCAAACCAGAAUGCCUGGCAGCCAGAUAAACAAACUUCAUUUCCUAAUUUGCCAGAUCAAGAAUACCGUGACAAACUAGUCCCUCCAGUGCAACCAUCAUUGCCUCCCCAACAAUUUCAUUCUGCUUCAGUUCCUCCUAGUGGAUUUGCAGUGUCAGCAACUACUCCACUUUCCGCACAACCAGCAAGCCAAUUGCCUGCAUCAGCAACCGGUGCUGGCGAAAAGCUGCCUCCAUAUCCCUUAUUUCCGCCUGGUCUUAUUCCUGGAAUGGUAAGAAAAAUGCAGAUCGGUAGUGGGGUGCCUUACUGUCCCAUGAGCCCUUUGGAUAUACCGACUGUCAUACCUCCUCCAAAUGCAUCACCAUCUGAAAUUCUUGAAAGAGUAUCAAAGUUCUUUAGAGAAAUUGGAGAAGUUAACCCCUCAGAAGGGCCCAUGAAAUCAUCUGGAUCGAGAGAUGAUUAUGACGACUAUGAGAGGGAGUCUCCUGUCCGCAAGGGAGGAGCUUGCAUUCCUCCUCCUCCUGACCUACAUUUGGACCCGGAGUCUGGGACUUAUCCAGAUGGAAGCGUGGAGCAGAAACCUGGUGCCAGUGACUCUGGAAGAUUGGGGCUUGGAGCUACAGCCAACCCUAAUGAGGUAAGCCAAUAUGAUGACGUGUAUGCAUCUUAUAGGAAACAGAGAAGCACCACCUACCAUUCAUCGAUGAGCGCAAGAGCUGCUGCAAGAUGAGAAGAGUUGCAUGUGCUAUGAUUCGUGAUCAUAGAUAUUAGAAGUUUUCAUUUUUCUGCAGUUUCCUGUUGAUGCUCAUGUAAAAGUUUCAGUUAGACGCAUUUUUAAUUUAAUACAAAAAAUGAGCUCUCUGUCUUUAUUCAUUACAAAAUGGUUUCAGUGGCCGGGAUGCUUGGACUUUUGACCUUGGUGCUUGAAAAAAUUCGUAAAGAAGUCUGGUCCUUGAGACACUAAUUUGGACAAUUGUGUAAAAGUUACUCCUGGCUAAUCAUCAAAACUGGAACCCUAAAGGACUAUGGACAUCACUUGAAUAAUGUUUCUAGUUUUAUAGAUAGACAAUGAAGUGUACAGACUGCGAUUUUCUUGAUCAGCAAUUUAACAUUAGUUUUCCCGCCCCUGCCCUUUUGGGUUACUGCAGCAAGAAAGGGAGGCCAAAAUGUUGGCCAUUUUAUGGAAAAUUAACAGCAUUAUUGAUAUGUUUGGUAAGAUGGAAAAUAUUUUCAUUCUGUUCAAAUUAUUUUCGAGGAAAAGAUUUGCAUUUACAUAAUUUUCUGGUGUUUGGUUGCAAUUUGAAACUGUGCUUCUAUCAUUAAAAUGUCAACCGCUGUUGUUCUCCGCCCAUGUUACUGUACUUCACCACCAGUUGAAAAGUCCUAAUCCAUGAAUCCAUAUGUGAAAUAACAUUUUUUUUAAUCUAUUAGUAAUAUUUACAAACUCUAAAUUCAAUUUUCAUAAUAAGAUGGUAUAAACUUCCAAGGAUAAAGAUCAAGGGCAAUUCGACAAAAAAGAUUGGGGUUUCAAAAGAAAACAGAAAAAAAAGGAUCUGUAUGGAGAAGGAAAAAUCAAGUUAUUAAAAAGGAGAAAAUUCCAUCUGCAUCGAAAGUUUGUCAGUAAUGGAGUCAUUGAUGAAUUUGUCACAAGUGAAGAUUUAGCAAAUUGUUUAACACGCUUUUAGAGUUUUGUGUGUCUGUUGGGUAGAAUGUUCUUCUAUCAACAAAUGACAGGAGUUUCAACUUUGCCAGCGGAUGCGUUGUUUUGGAAAAAAACUUAGUUCCUCCUAUUUUGAAUCAAAAUGGGGAAAUAAUCUCUUGCGUAAAAUAUUUUCACCAAUUCUAAGGCAACCAAACACCUGAAAUUGUGAAAAACAUUUUUUAGAAAAUAUUUCAGUCCAAACAAACACAGUCCCUAAUCCCUAUAUCCAAUCCAAUGAUUUUCUUCUGUCGUAGUUGUGCAAAAUUAGUCAAUGGUCCUUCACUUCACUGGGCCAAAUUAGGCAGCCAAAAAACUAAAAAUGUUGGUCUCCAAACGUGAGGGAAACUUUGCAUUUCGGUCUGGCUCUUCUUUCUGAUCCAUUCUCCAUCGUAUCAAACGUUCUGAAGAUCUUACUGGGGACACUGGGAAAGACCCUUUGUAGGUCAGUAGUUGCGUUCUUGGAUUCGGGCCUCUUGACGAUGUAAGAACAUGAGAACCAUCAAAAUAUAAACUCUUUUUUUUUGAACUUUAACAGUGUAAGAGUUUUAACUAUGUAAAUUAAUUUUCUUAAUGAAAAAGUAAUUAGUAAAAUGUCUACAGUAGUACAGUGCUAGAUGAAUUCCUCUAUGGUGCAAGAUUCCAUGAAGAAAAGGAGCAUGGUUGUCGUAAGAUUGAAACUCUUAGUUCUGUCUACGGUUCCUAAUAUCUAGUAAUGGAGAGUUUCUUGUCAUUUAUUUUUUAUAAUCGUGUACAAGAGGUCACGUUUAGUCUCCUUUGUAGUUUUUAUUCUCUAUUCGUUUUAAUAAAAUAAAAAUAUUUAUCUUAAAAAAAUAGCAAAAUGUCUAAGGAGAGUGACAAAGUGUAAAAUCAACGAACUAAUUUGACCAUUUUAAUACGUAUUUAGGGUUAAAAGCUUUAAAUCUCUAUCAACUUUACUCUUAGUUGCACUUUACCUCUUCAACUCAAUAAAUAAGCAUUUUCCCCCCUAUUUUAUGUUUUAGGACAAAGGGUUCAUAGCACUUUGCCCUCCAGAACUAUAGAGGUAGCCGUAUUUUGCCCCACUGAACAAAAAAAGGGUUACAAAAACUCCUCCUAAGAUAUAGCCACUUUUGCACUUUAUCCUUUAACGUUAUUUUUUUUCUCACUUAAUUUUCUAAACCGUUAGUCAAUUCUAACAUUAUGUAACAGUGAUGUCAAAAGGAUAUUUAUACCCCUAAGAGCUGACUAUAGUAAAUCUCCUUAAACUAUAGCUUGUUUUGCACUUUAUCCCCUAACAUUAUUUUUUUUAUUUAUUACUAAAAUCAUUAAUGAACUCCAAUAUUUGAUAACACCCAAAACAAUUAAUAUCUAAAAAAUCAAUAUUCCUAACAUAAUAAUAAAAAAUUAUAAUAUAUAUAUAUAUACGGUCCUAGUUAAAUUUCAUUCCAUAAUUGCACCUUUUUUUAGAUUGAGGAGAAUAUCUUGCCAAUUUGAUUCAGUAGUGGGAAAAACCAAAUAGAAAUUAUUAUUAAAACGCAAAAAGCAUUUUUAAAAGUCUAAAAAUGAUUGGGAUAUUGUCAAAUUCUCUUUAGAAAUGUGCAUACAACUAAACUUUUCUUUCAAUAGCUAGAUUUUUUUAUAUGGAAGUAUACAUUUUUUCAUUGAUAAUACUAAAAAAAAAGAAACAUGGUUGAUUUGGAGUUCAAAAUUUUCAGAGUUGUUCUUUUAAUAUACCAUGCUUAGAUGUUGUUAAAAUUUAUUUGAAUUACUAAAUUUUUCUAAUUUUUUUUAUUGCAUCUAAAAAAUUUAUGUUGAGUGGUACAAAAUAGUAGAGUUGACUAAUAGUUUUGGGAACGAAUAAACAAAUUAAAAGAAAAAUGAUAUUAGCGAAUAAAGUACAAACUAGCUAUAAUUAAUCUUUAGGGGUAUCGAUGUCUUUUUGACAUUUUCGUUACGCAAUGUUAGAAUUAACUAACAGUUUUAGUGGGUAAAGUGAGAAAAAAUGAUAUUAGGAGAUAAAGUUCAAAUUGGUUAAACCUUUGGGGGGGGGGGGGUUUAUAAUUAACCAAAAAAAAAAAAAAACA